rnacentral:lncRNA from 1 species
UGUCAAGCACCUCGAGACAAUUAAGUUCUCCAAUUUCGGGAGGCAACUCCGUUACAUUGAUGCAAUUAUUUAAGUAAAGCCCCUUAAGACCUGUCAACUUUGCUAAAGAUGAUGGCAGUGAUUCAAUCCCAGUUCCAUAUAGGUCCAAAACCAAAAGUUUCUUCAUAUUUUCAAAAAAAGAUUGGGGUAUUCCUGACAAAUUCGAAUUCCUCUGUAGUAAUAGUGACAAAAGCAUGUUACAGUUGGGGCUUUCUGGCAAGUCUCUCAACUUUUUGUCAAUCAUGGAGAUCCUCUUUGCUUGUUGCCAAUCAUUUUCUUCCAAGCAAUCAGGUGAAUUUUCAGUCAUUCCAGUCAAAAAUUUACAAUCAGGAUCUUGUGAAGAAAUAUACAAAGCAACCUGUCGGAUACUAUUGUUCAUUUGAACAUAAAUCAUCCUUUCACCUUUCUCUAGUAAUGACACAUUAGUUAGAUACUUCAAUGUGUCAUAACCCUCAUCACGUGCAUCUUGAAAUCUCCUCUUCUCAUUAGUAUUGCCAACGAGUCCUUCAGCAGUCCAACACUCCAGUAAAUAAUCUGUAUAAAUCUUACUCUCUGCUGGAUACAAUGCACCAUACAAGAAGCAUUUCCUUUUCUGAUCAUCCUUUAGUUGAUCAUAACAGAACUUCAAGAAUGAAUGCAAUUCAGUUAAGCCUGGAAUCUCAAUUUCUGGCCAUUUCCGUAAGUCUUUGAGCCCUUUCCUCCAUUCUGGCACACUAUCUUUCAACUUGAAAGCACCUGCCACUGUCUUGAUCAGAAGUGGGAGUCGAGCACACUCCUUAGCUACCAGCUGAGCAACUGGUUCAAUAUCAGGCAGAUCUACGACAUCACUGACCAUCUGCUGAAACAUCUUCCAAGCCUCAUUUGAUGAUAAUGGGUGCACCUCAAUCAAUCUGUCUGCCAUUGACGAACAAACAUGACGGAAUUCAGUUGUCAAUACCACUUUGCUGCCAUUUUUGUUGUCAGGGACUCCAAUAUCUUCCAAAUCAACUGAGUCCAUGACGUCAUCCAAAAGCAGCAAAUACUUCUUGUUAUUCAACUCUUCUGAUAUUGUUCUGGCAACGUCCUCAGGAUGGACAACGCCUUCCAUUUUUAGUUUAAGUCGCCGUGCGAUAUCCUCUUGCAAUUUUUCCUCGGUCCUCUCACUAGAGACAUUUUCCCAAAUGACAAUAUCAAACAUUUUAGAUACUUCAUCAUGGUUAUUCAAGUUUUGCAUUAUUGUUGUUUUCCCAACCCCUAACGUGCCGCAAAUCCCAAUACCUUUCAAUUUGUCAUUUCUUAACAGCUCCAAUACCUGUUCUAGCGGCCUCUGAAGGCUAGGAAAUCCUUUGAUCUCAGGUGCAUGCACCUUUAAGACAGGAUCUACAGGUUUAUCAACCAAAAUACCUCCCAGAAAUUUCCCCUCUUCCACAAGCUUUUGAAUUUCUUCAUACAUUUUUACCAAUUUUCCACUAUAAUUUGAUCUUCGCUUCACAUGAAUGUAUCUAGAUGAAGGCCUUCUAUCUUCUUCAAAUCGAUCUUCUAAUUCUUUUGCAUUUUCAAGCGUCUUGUUAACACAGCGUCGCCAUACAUCAUAGCUGCUAGUAGUUGUCUUCAUUUUAUGUUUCUUGACUUCCCUUUCAUAAUCAUCCCUCAAAGCCUGGAGUCUUGCUACUUCAUUUCUUAACAUUUCAUAGUUUUUCUCCAUACUCUGUGAUAAACUGACUUUGCUUUUAGCAUAAUUAGUUAAAUCUGCCCCAGCUUGGCUCACAGCUCCCGCGAGACAAGAAGCUAAUAUGUUGUCAGCCAUGAGGAAACUAACUUGAUCCUGCAGCAGCAGCAAGGAGUUCGCAUGGUUAUAAAGUUAAUGCAAAGUGGACAAGUGUUACUUGGAUAAAGAUGUUUUAUUUAUGAUCUGCUCACCUAUUCAUUUUAAUUCCCUAUCCCCAACCACACUCUCAAUCUAUGUCUGCAGUUCUUUCACAUAUAAUUCAUGGAUGGAAUCUGAUUUGUAUACUUUUUGCUUCCCUCUUGUAGUUUUGUAGUUAAUUUAAGCUCCUCUUAAUUGUUUAUGUACAUCUACUAAAUUUGGACUUAAAAAGAUACAAAAUAUUGAUGCAAAAUUUGCUAGUAAUUUAAUCAGAUUCACCAAUUGGAACAAACAAAAAGGAAAAAAGUUCGCCUCAUGACUUAACUAUUAAAGUAACGAUUAAUUGUAAGCAGCAGAUCCUGAGAAAACAGAGGCAAGUUAGAGCAGAGUUGAGAUAAGGAUGCAGCUAUCUACCUGGGGUGGGAAGGACUCAACUAUUGGAAACCGUACUUGCGUGGCGGGCUCUAUUUCUCCUUUUACCUUGACAAACUGCAAAAUAUAAAGUCCAUAAGGGUUACAGAAUUGAAGCCUCGCUAGCCUCCAUACGUUGGCAUUAGUCCAAAAGAAAUAUUUAAAGCAGUUCCUUAAAUUCUUUUCUGGAAAAAGAACUCAUUUAAUUUCCUUUUCUAAAUAUGUUCCGUUAAAGAAGGGUAGACAGCCAAGAUGAUAUUAACUUCUUGUUGAAGUACCAUUCUCGUUUCCCUCUUUUUGUUAAGAACUGAGUUUAGAUAUUGCGGUAGAUCAUAUGUUAUACUAGUAACUAAUUGAAUCCAAAGAAUAAAGCUAAACGGAGGAGAACCGAAGAUGCAUAGAGAAAGAGAGGAGUGCAGUAAAGUCACCUGAAACUCGUCGGAAUACUAGUAAGUUGUGGUUAGCGAAGUGUUGUGAGAGAUUAGAACGAGCUAAGGGUAUCAAGAGAGUUGACUUGAGGUUGGCAUGGACUGUUGGGGUAGUUUCCUACAGGGGUAUUUUAUUUUUUCAAACAAUGACCGGUAAAGUUUCUAGUUGUCUUCUCCGCGUUGGUCCCCUCUCAGUGGCGGUAAAGUUAGUUCCCUAGCGAAUGCAAAUCGGGUCACAACACAGCACCCAAAAUAUAAUAUCAUGCCAUCAAUACACACCAACAUAUCACAAACCACGCUAAGCAAAGGCCAUUAGUAAGUUAGUUAUCCACUGGAUCCCUUCUUUAGCAAAGAAUCUUAAAGAUGGCUUUUGUGUUCUUUUUGGAUCUAAGUCCCCUAUGGAGUCUAUUUUGGGUUUUGCUAAAACAGAGAAUGACAAAGAAGAUAAAUACCACUUGAGUUUUUUAACUAAUGACGGCUUGUUCAUGAAGAAGAGUAAAGCUAAGAACAAUCCAAAAAUCCCAAAGAUGACUGACGCUUCCAAGAUUGGAGAGUAAUGAUUGAAAAUAUCAGGGAAAGAAAAAACCAAAAGGAGUUAACUUGCCGUUAAUAAACUUCUAUUUAUUGGACAGAUGGCAUAAGUUUAUAAGAGGGGCAGGGAACGGGACACCAACUCGGGGCAGAAGAUUUGCAUUCGGUCCUCUCUUAGGAAAUGCUUUGGUUGGUAAAUGCUUUGAGUUUGAGGAUAGGAAUCGAACUACCUUGCAACUACCAUGCAAAGACAUUCAUCUAUCUAGCUCGACUUUUAGCUUUAUUUUCUCGUUAACAAUGACCUAAACCUCAUCUCUAACCAGAGCUACUGUACAUUCUAGUCAAACGAACUUGCAGGUCAGUUUACUACUUCUCUUUAAUUUCUUCAUCUCUUUCUCAUCAAUUAAUGUAGCCAGCAUUUAUAUGUGUGAUAAGCUCUUGUUUCCGAUUUGUGUUAGGCUUAAUCCAUUAAUCUUUGUCGUUGUAAAAGAUAAGACAAUCCAAUUGAAAAGAAAAAAAAAUUAGCGUUGAAUUUGAGUUCCUCCCCAUGUAUGUAUUAAAAUUUAAAUCAUCAAUAAACCAAUUCAUGUUCAAAGGUAUUGUAUAUGCGUUGUCAGUUAUAUGAUAACUUGAUUUUUUCAUAUAUAUAUAUAUAUAUACUUUUUUUUCUUUUCUUCAUUCUCAAAAAUAAUAUACUAUGCAUUUAUUGAAAUGAAAAAUAAAAAAAAGGAGAAAAAUAGAUGCAUGAUGUAUGCAUAUAUUUUUUCUUUUUCUUUUUUUGCAACAGGCAUAUAUUUUGUAGGGUAAAAUUAUACAAAUAAAUACUUAAAUUCAUUAAAAUUAUUUUUACUUUUGUCACAGAGUUCCUAAAUUUUUAAUUUAGACAAUAUAUUGUAGACGCUCUCCAUUAAACUGUCACGUUAGCAUUUUUUUCCCUUCUCGAUGCUAACAUAGAAGCAAAAAGUAAAAGUUAAUUUUUGCAAAAAAAAGAAGAGAUAAAAAGGAAAGAACAUUAGGAAAUGUGAUGAUUAAAAUCAUUAAAUUCUACGAAAAUCACUGCACCAAAUUAAAAUAGAAUAUAGAAUGAAGGAGAUUAUCUCUUAGUAAUUAACAUAUAUCUUUAAUUUCUCAAUUGCUCUGAUGAUUGUCUGGUUAACGUACAUAAUGAAAGAGAUUAUAUCAUAUUCUUCAAAGUGUAAUUGAUGCUUUACGAACAGGGUAUUUUGUGAGGGAAGAUCCUCUAGGCCAGAAAAAUUUACGUAGUAGACACAUACUUCAGCCGAAACAAAAUGCAGCAAUCUGUUCUCAAGGCAAGUGGCUCAGGAUUGACCCAGCUACGCGAGGAAGAAGAAUGGGCAGGCAAAGGGGUGCUUUUCAUGAAUGAUAAUAAAGCGUCUGAGCUACAUCCAUCUCCAAAUUGCCCUUCACCGAUUGCGUUGUAUUUGCAAGGGAAUUAUGAGCUGACAGCUAUUCCUCCCUUCUUCUUCCGGCGCAUGGCCCUUCUCCAAGUGUUAGAUUUGUCCCACACUAGCAUCAAAUGCUUGCCAAAGUCUCUUCCCAGGUUGGUUGCACUAAAGAAACUCUUGUUACGGCGUUGUCAACUCUUCAUGGAGCUAUCACCGCAGGUUGCGAAACUCAGUAAUCUGCAGGAGCUUGAUCUUGAUGAAACUCAGAUCAUGGAUUUGCCUAGGGAGAUUGGAAAGCUACUGAAUUUAAGACAUUUGAGAGUAUCAUUUUAUCUGAUCUGUGGCAAAAAGAAGUCGAAAUCAAACAUUCUGAUUCACCCUGAGACAAUAUCAGAUCUCUCCCUACUUACUGAAUUAAGCAUUGAUGUAAAUCCGACGGACAAGAGGUGGGAUGAUUCUGUGGAAGCAGUUGUGAAGGAAGUAUGCAACUCAGAAACAUUGACGACUCUUAGCUUGUACCUGCCGAAAUUCCAACUUUUAGAUAAUAUAUCAUCGUUAUAUCCUUCAUUGUCAGGCUUUAGAUUUACUGUUGGUCAUCAUAAAAGGAGAAUCAUAUCUCGUGUACCUCAUGAAGUUGAAGCAGAAUUCAGAAAUUGGGACAAAUGCUUGAAGUUUGUGAAUGGUGAAAACAUCCCAAUUGAAAUAAAAGAUGUACUAAAAUAUUCUACUUCAUUUUUCUUGGACCACCAUGCAACCGCUAUGAAUCUAUCUGAAUUUGGGAUUGAGAAUAUGAAGAGGCUAAAAUUUUGCUUGUUGGUAGACUGUAAUAAGAUGGAAACCAUUAUUGAUGGCGAGAGGCGUUAUGAAGGAAAUGAAGAUGAUCUAUCGGAAUCUGACCCAAGUCCUGUGGAAAAUGUGCUUGAGUCCCUGGAAUAUUUGAUCAUUUAUUACAUGGAGAAUUUAGAGAGUAUUUGGAGAGGACCAAAUCGCUAUGGAUGUAUGUCUAAGCUAAAAUUCCUAGCACUGCAUACAUGCCCCCAGCUGAUUAAUAUUUUCUCUCAUACUUUGCUUGGAAAUUUUGUCAACUUGGAAGAGUUUAUUCUUGAGGACUGCCCUCUAGUCACCAGCCUGGUAAGCCAUGCAUCUGUCAAGCCAAUGGUGUCAGAUAAAUUUCUCCCUAGUUUGAAAAGAUUGCUGCUUCUUUACCUUCCUGAACUGGUCAGCAUUUCUAAUGGACUACUAAUUGCACCAAAAUUAGAAACCAUAGGCUUUUAUAAUUGCCCAAAGCUUAAAAGCAUAUCAAAAAUGGAAUUGUCAAGCAAAACUUUGAAGAUAAUCAAAGGAGAACUUCAGUGGUGGGAAGAUAUGAAGUGGAAUGAAGCAGAGUGGGGAAACCGGCCAGAUUAUCUAAUGCGUAUCUUUUCCCCUAUCGACAAAGAGAAAGAUGUGAUGAACCAAUUGGCAGAAGAUAGAGAUCUAUUUGAAGUCACAAUGCAAAAUGAAGGCCAACAACUAGGUAAUAUAUGUUUUGUUUGAUAUCAGUUGAGUGAGAUAAAUUUACUGAGUACUUGAACUUCUUUUUUUUUGGGAUAAUUGAGUAGGCUAUCCAAAGAAAAGCAGGCAAGCCCUGCUACAAAUAGUACAAACUGCAAAAGUAGGAAACAAAGAAGCCCCCAGAGAAGAUUUAGCCCAUUAAACAUCCUUUCAUAUAGUCCUCAAUUCAUCCAAAGUUCACUAUUAAUAGGACCUCUAGAAAUAUUUUGAAGUCCACAAAGUCUGAGCUAACAACUUCAAUGAUACUGCGAAGAAGUUCAGCUCAAGUCUUUUGCGUGCUGCCAAAUAUCCUGCAAUUUGUGUCUGACCAAAUAGUAUAAAUGUAUGCACUCCAAGAAAGUUGCAUAACAACCAAGAUGAAAGCCUUCCCUUUCAGUCUUUGCUUCGCCCAAUGAAAUUCAGUGAUCCAGCCACUUUAUAGUAUUUGAAAACAACUUAAGUGAAGAACUUGAGUCAAAACUUGCUUUAAGAAAUCACAAGCAAAAAACUGAUGAUCCCUGGACUCCUCAACAUGAUUGAAAAAAAUGUACAAGAAUUCAUGUGAGAAGGACCUGGUCCCAAGAACUAAUCCUCUUUUUAUUUGGCAGCCUAUCUAGAAUAUCCAUCCAGAUAAUGAUUGCAUGCCUGGGAAUAUGGUUUUUGAACCAUUAUCUAUGCCAAUAACUUUUCUCGUGCUUGUGUCAAAUAGCUACCUAGGUUCCAUUGCAAAUGCUCUAUGAUAUCUACAUGUAUAUACUUCACUCCUUUUUCAAUUUCGUUCUCUUUAAAGUCAUGCUCUUACGAUAAAAAGAUAAAAAAGGUUGAAUCAGGAUCACUAUACGAAAAAAGUGCAUCUUCACUCACUCAUCUCAUUAACAAAUAUUCUACAUGUUAUACAUAGCCCCAACUUAAAAAAAAAGAAAGUUUACUAACGACUAGUGAGAAGUGAAGAUUUUAACGUUGCAUAUUUGAAAAUUGGUAGAUGAUGAAAAGUUGAUUGAAGUUUCAACACAAGAUCAUGGAGGCCGUUGGUCAGGUGAUUUUUCUUUGCGACUCUUGUAAGACAAUUUUUUCUUAUUUUUAUUGUCGUUAACUCUUUUAGGCAAUUGCCGUUCAUUACUGUCAGAUUACACGGAGGAGAGAAUAACUGGAGCAGAUGUGACAAAGUCAAUUUCUUCGGUAUGCAUACUUCCAUCCACUCCAUGGACCGAGGUAAGUACUAUAUAUCAAUAUGCAGAGCAACCAAACAGAGCAUAGCUUUAUCUUAAACUCCCUUGUUUUGUUUCUAUAAAUCUUAUUCACUAUAUUCAACUUCAGCAACUGAACUAUUUCGGUUUUAUUUGUCUCAAUUCAAAAUAUAUUUUUGAAUACGUAUAUUUUAAUGAAUUUGUUGUUAUCUAGAUUACUUUUUUUCUUUUAAAAAAGAAACUGUAUAAAUCUCAAAUAUACAUAUGAACCUUCCCCAUACAAAUAUAUAUAUGCUUGAGCCUUCAGCCUAUUGGGAACAAGGCUAAAGAACAUAUGAAGAGAGAGUUACCUGCUAAUAACACAAGUAGAUAACUAUGCAAUACAGCCAAGCGGCAAGAAUUUUGUGAUAUUUUGGUCCAAGUCCCGAGUUGAUCCCUCAUAUUGAGGCCAAUCUAGCCGACAUAAGGCAGAACUUAUUGUGAUCAGCCUUGAUUGCCAUUAACAUUUCGCUGGAUUUAUUCAAAUUUCAGGCACCAAAACAAGCAUGGAGCUUUUCACCAGAUGAGAACAAGAGGCUAGAAGAUGAUUAUUUUGAUCUGGCUUCAGAAACCAGUGAAGCAGACGAUAUUGUAGAUGAACCUAAGGCCAAAAGAUGGUCAGUUAAGCUUUCUUUUGGAUGUACACCAUGAAGUAGACAUUGUUGUUCUUUCUUGAUACUUGGUACUAUAUAAGCAUUUUUACUUGACAGUAGUGCUCCUCACUCCCUUAAACCAGAAGGGCUGCUUUGCUGUGUUUGAGGACCCCAUUCCGCCAAUGUAAAACACUUUUAGAUGUCUUUCAAUCUUUAUACCAAGGAUGAAAGUAAACUUAUGGAAGUCAAUUAUGCAAGUGGUUUGGUCAAGUAUGAUUAGGCUUAUGGGUUGCAAAAAUAAAUGUUCUAUGAAAGUGUGUGUUUUAAUGGAGUGGUUUUUUCUUUUACAGGAACUGUACUGAGAAUGAAAACAAGGGUGUCAUACGUUUUGCAAGCAAAGUUGCGACAGGGGAUAGAACUGAAUUUCAAGUAAAAAGAAACGUUGAUAUACUUGAUGAUGGUUAUAAAUGGAGGAACCAUAGAACGAAGUUAAAGGGAUAUCCCUACUCAAGUUGAUUACUUUGUUAAGUUGUAAUACUUGCAUGGUUGCUGCAGCACGUGGAUGCUUUCAAAUUAACUUAGUUUUCUUCAUUUUAUCAGUUUGCUUCGUUGUAUUGGUUUUUAGAGUUAAUACCAUGGCUGUGCUGUCCCAUUACGUGUAAGGUUGUAUGUAAACUUGUUUUACACUUGUUAGGCAUGGUUACAAGUGUUCUUCAUGUACAACAGGGUAUAUAACCUCUGUGUUAUCUUAAUGAAGCAAUAUAUGACUCUAAAUUCAAUCUCCCUUUUAGACUUAGUGCUUCUUUUCCUCUGUUAUUUACAUUAAUGUAGUAUCAGAGUAUUCCUAAGAUCUUGUUGGACCUGAGAAUACAAAGAAUCCUUCUUUCUUCUUUGUUAAUUCAUCUCUUGACAUUUCCAGCAUGUCUUCACCUUCAGCUUCACAUAUAUCUCCAUCUAUAUUUGAUGGCAAAAAUUAUCAAGUUUGGGCUGUCAAGAUGGAGGUUUUUCUCAGAGGUUAUGACAUCUGGACAGCCAUUGAAACUGAAGAAGAACCUACUGCUUUGAGAGACAAUGCAACCAUAAAUCAGAUUAAGCAAUAUUAUGAAGAAUAGCAAAGCGAUACAGAGCUUUGUCCUUCAUUCAAGUUGCUGUGUCUGAAAAGAUCUUUACCAGGAUCAUGAGUUGUAAAACAGCAAAGAAAGCAAGGACUAAGCUUGAGGAAAAUUAUCUUGGUACAACAAAAGCCAAGAAAAUGCAAGCUCAGAACCUUUGAAGAGAGUUUGAGUUGAUUAGGAUGAAAGAGUCACAAACUGUAGAAGAUUAUAUAAAACAUGUCAGUCAUCUGGUAAAUCAAAUGAGGCUGUUUGGAGAUGAUUUACCAGAAGCUAGAUUUUUUCAAAAAAAUUCUCAUAAGCUUACCUGAAAGAUUUGAAGCAACAGUUACAUCUAUAGAGCAAACUAAAGACCUGCCACAGCUCACAGUGUCAGAACUAGUCAAUGCACUUCAAAACUGGUCAGUGCACUUCUAGCCACUAAGCAAAGAAGAACAUCUCGACUAGAAGCAAAUGUGGAGAAUGCUUUGUUUGCUUCAAGCCAAGGGAAAGCUAAUGUAGAGGCUCAGGUUAAGAAGAUGACUAAAGACAAGUUGCAGAAGAAAUCUUCUCAUGCAAGUCAGUCUUCAACCAAGAAAGGUAAGUUCAAAGUUUGUACUUACUACAAGAAAAGAAACCAUUCAGAAGAUUAUUGCUGGUUCAGAUCAGAUGCAAAGUGUCAAGCUUGUAAUGAAUUGAGGCAUGUUGAGAAAGUAUGCAAGAAAAAGUCCUCUGCUACUGAUAAAGCACUUCAAAUAGUUGAAGCUUUUACUAAUCCUGAAGAGAAUCUGUUUAUGGCCUUAGAAAACAUGGCAAAUGAAGUUAAUAAUCUUGAUUGGUUAUUGGACAGUGGGAGCUCUAAUCAUGUUACUCUAAUUGAAGUUAUCUUUUUCAGCUUAGAUAAGAACUACCAAUCAAGGGUCAAAAUAGGAAAUGGAGUUUAUCUUCCUGCUAUUGGCAAAGGUACAGUUUGUGUUCACACUUCCACAAGUCCCAAGUAUAUUUCUGAUGUUCUAUUGGUUCCUAAACUUACCCCAGUAUUGGACAACUAGUUGAAAACAAUUAUGCACUAUUGUUUAAAGAUAAUGCCUAUUUGAUGCUUCUGGUUCUUAUUUGAUGACUAUACCUAUGCAUAAGAGGUGUUUCACUAUGAUUGCUGAUCAGCUUUGUUUGAAGCAAGAAAUGCAUAUUCAAAUCUUAAAAAUUUGUGGCAUAAACGACUUGGUCAUUUCAACUAUAAAGGUCUCAAACAAGUCAAUGUUUCUGGUUCUUUGAGAAACUUACCUAAGUUGACUGAUGAAGGCUUGGUUUGCAGUGCAUGUCAGUAUGGUAAGCUUUCAAGAAAGCCUUUUCCAUUUGCAAGCAACAUCAGAGCUAUAACGAAGCUUGAUUUGGUUCAUUCUGAUGUUGCUGGACCAAUGAAAGUAGAAUCUUUGAAUGACAGCAGAUAUUAUUUGAUUUUUGUUAAUGUCAAAACACGAUGGCGUUGGAUAUACUUUAUGAAAGCUAAGUCUAAAGUAUUUGAGUUAUUUUAGAUAUUCAAAGCUAAGGAGGAAGUUGAAACAGGCUUCAGAAUCAAGGUUCUUAGAACAGACAAUGGAGAAGAAUAUAUCUCCAAAGAUUGUACUCAGUUCCUUGCAAUUGCAGGUAUUUGUCAUCAAUUCUCUGCACCUUAUUCUCCUCAACAAAAUGGGGUUAGUGAAAGGAAGAAUAGGUCUAUUCUGGAUAUGGCAAAGACUUUGUUGUUUGAAAAGAAUCUUCCAACCAAGCUUUGGGCAGAAGCUUGUAAUACUAUAGUAUAUUUGCAGAAUAUACUUCCUACUCAGGCAUUAGGUGGCAAAUCACCAUAUGAGGUCUGGCUUGAUCAAAGACCUUCAAUAGAGUAUUUGAGAGUCUUUGGUUGCAUUUGCUAUGUCUUUGUACCAGAAGCUAUGUGGGAUAAGUUGCUGUACAGAGCUCAAAAGGCUAUUUUUAUUGGCUACAGCACUAAGUCCAAAGCUUAUAGAGCUUACUUUCCAAUUUCUAAUAAGGUUGUUAUCAGUAGGAACUUGUCAUUUGAUGAAGUUGCAAGCUGGAAUUGGAAUUUGCAAGGCACUGCAAAAUCUCAAAAGCCAAGUUUAAUUCAAUCUUUUCCAGAAAUUAAGGUUGAUGUUGAUGACGAGCCUAUGAGAGGAAAUCAAUCACUUAGUGAUGUCUAUCACAGAAACUAUGCUUGAAGAACCUUCCACAUAUGCAGGUGCAGCUAGAAUGGUUAACUGUUAUGAAAGAAGAGCUUCACAUGAUCAACAAGAGUGGUACAUGGUCACUAGUUGAUUGACCUUCAAAUAGGAAUAUAAUUGGAGUUAAAUGGAUUUACAAAAACAAAUUGAAUCUUGAUGGCUCACUCAACAGACAUAAAGUUCGAUUGGUGGUGAAAGGUUAUAGCCAACAACUUGGUGUUGAUUAGUAGGAAACAUUUGCUCCAGUUGCCAAGUAUGAUACAAUUUGAUUGUUAUUAGCCAUGUUAGCUGCCUUGGGAUGGAAAGUUUAUCAUCUUGAUGUAAAGUCUACUUUUCUCAAUGGUUUUCUGAAAGAAGAAAUUUAUGUUGAUGAUUUGUUGCAAAUGAUGAACCAAACAAAGUUUAUAAGCUUCAUAAGGCUCGUAUGGCUUGAAGCAAGCUCCACGAUCUUGGUAUAGUAGGAUUGACUCAUAUUUGGUUUCUAAAGGAUUCACAAAGAGCAGUAAUGAAGCUACAUUAUACAUUCUCAACUCCAAAAUACAAUCUCCUUUGUUUGUUUCACUUUAUGUAGAAGAUUUAAUGGUUUCUGAAAGAGAUCAUACUGCUCUGCACCUGUUCAAAAAACAGAUGCAAAGUGAGUUUGAGAUGUCUGAUCUGGGAUUGAUGAGUUUCUUUCUUGGUUUGGAAAUUAAGUAAUCUGAUAUAAAGGUAUUUCUAUCUCAACAGAAAUAUAUCAUUGAGGUUCUAAGUAGGUUUCACUUGCUCAAUUGCAAAUCUGUAGGUACACCAUUAGCUGUAAAUGAAAAGUUUUCAUUACAUAAUGGAAGCAAGUUAAAAGACCCUUCUUAAUUUAGAAACUUGAUUGGGAGUCUCCUUUACAUAUGCUCUUCAAGACCAGAUAUCAUGUAUUCUGUGAGCUUGUUGUCUAGGUUUAUGAAAGAGCCCACACAUCUUCAUUUUGCAGUUGGAAAACAUGUGUUGAAGUAUUUGAAGGGCACUCUAGACUUUGGAAUCUAUUAUACCAGAAAUCCAAACUUCUUCCUUACUUCCUACUUUGACAAUGAUUGGGCAGGAAAUAGAGAUGAUUCCAAGAGCAUUUCAGGCUAUGUUUUUACUCUUGGAAAUGGAGUAUUUUGCUGGAACUCACAUAAACAGUCCAUUGUUGCUCAAUCUACAGCUAAGGCUGAGUACAUAUCAGCUACUUCAACUUCCAAUCAAGCAAUUUGGUUGAGAAAAAUACUUUCUGAUUUACAGUUUCCUUAGAAACAUCCUACUCCACUGUUGGUAGAUAACAAGUCAGCUAUUGCAAUCCCCAAGAACCCUGUUUUUCAUGGCAAGACUAAGCAUAUUCAAGUAAAAUUUCAUGCCAUUAGAGAUGCCAAAAGGGUAGGUGAAAUUAAUGUUCAGUAUUGCUGUUCUGAUUUGCAACUAGCUGAUAUCAUGACUAAGACUUUGGGAAAGCCAAGAUUCGAGUACUAGAGAAGCAAAUUGAAUGUCCAGAGUGCAAGUAUUAUGGAGGAGUGUUGAGUUGUAAUACUUGCAUGGUUGCUGUAGCAUGUGGAUGCUUUCAAAUUAACUUAGUUUUCUUCAUUUUAUCAGUUUGCUUCGUUGUACUUGUUUUUAGAGUUAAUACCAUGGUUGUGCUGUCCCAUUACGUGUAAGGUUGCAUGUAAACUUGUUUUACACUUGUUAAGCAUGGUUACAAGUGUUCUUCAUGUACAACAGAGUAUACAACCUCUGUGUUAUCUUAAUAAAGCAAUAUAUGACUCUAAAUUCAAGCUCCCUUUUAUACUUACUGCUUCUUAUCCUCUGUUAUUUACAUUAACAUACUUCACCUAAUAUUGGUUAGAAGUUCAGAAGUUGCUAAAAAGUUUUGUCAAUUUAAUUAUUCCUUUUUUUGUGACUUCAUUCACUUUGUAUAGCAACCACUACAAAUGUAUGAUAAGGGGUUGUCCAAUGAGGAAAAGGGUUGCCCGAGACUCCCAAGAUGCGUGCGUUUUGGUCCUCACCUACAAAGGGAUACAUAACCAUGAGUGGCCUUCUGUCAAGGCGUUGAAUAACGUGGAAGAUGCAGCUGAGGCAGCUAAGACUAUCAGCCCUACAAAAGGUGGAGGGGCACUUGAUCAUUCAUUGAAAUAAUGCCUUAAAACUUGCAUUAAUACAAAUGAUUUUAUCCUUUGUUUUGUCAUUAUAAGUUGAUGGUUAAUAUCUAAAUCAGCAAAUUUACGGGGCAUAUUCUAAAUCAUCUUGUAGUUGACAACAAAUACAUCAUCAUUUAUUAGUGUGUAUGUGUAAUAUGUCUGUAUAUAAUGCUUAGGGGAAAAUGGAAUGUAAAUCUGAAAAAAGAAUAAAACGAAUGAUAUCAGAAAAUGUAGUCAUAUCAUAAAGAGGUCAGUAGGUGAAGGAAUGUGCUUUAGUGUACUCAAUGCCUAAAAAAAAGGUUGUUCGAGAAAAACUGUUACUAAUGUCUGGUGCAUUCGAAAUUGGCAGGUUAUGGAGAUGUAUUGGAAGCAUCAAUACAAGAUAAAGGUCUACAUCCUGGUAAUUAAUUAUCUUGAACCUUAAGGCUUCUAAUUUUUGGCUGUCAACUUCUAUCAAGAUAUGAAAACGCAAGCUGUUUAUCUCUGAAUGAUGAACAGCAAUUUCUUGCAAUAUGAAUUUCCCAUGUCAUAUUACAAGUUGAUGUUUAAUAACCAUCCAAGAGGAUGCAUCCACAAGAAUUUGUGUGGGGGCCGGACGAUACACUCAUCUUCAUGUAUGUAUUGACACUUGCCUAGAAUUAUUUAUCAUAAUUUUGCUGUUUAUAUCUCCUACUGAUGCAUUUGAAAUUGGCUGCAAAUGCAGGUAUUCCUGAAGCUUCAGUACCAGAUGAAUCGCAACAAUCAGGUCAUUGUUCAAUUCGAGCUUCCGCAAAGACCUUUUUUUAGUAUUUCCUAGUCUAAUUUUUAUCAACCAGUAAUUUUUUUAUUUAUUUUUCUCAGUCAAAUUAUUUUAUUAAUAUCACAAAGUGAUGCGUAGAACCUUAGCACAAAGCCAAGCCAUGGAAGGGGACAGUUCAUAUAAUAAGAACUUGGUCAAGACAAAGAGAAUACCACCUAGUACAGACACCAUAUUCCUUAUGACAGCAGUUUCCAUGCCCUCUAAGCAUAAAAAACAACCUUAGGAGUCCAACUUAAACAGUAAAUAUCUAAACCCGUCAAAGAUAACAUAUCCUAAUGACAACGUAGAAUCGGAUUUGCUUCCCCGUUGCCAAACACAACGCCAAAGUCUCCUAAAACACCAAGACACCAUUGCAUUUAAUUCUAAAAAAAAAAUAGGAAUAACUUUUACAUUUUAAAAAUAACUAUUAAAAUAAAUUUAAUUAUUUUUAAUUAUAUUUAAUCAUGACUUGACAAAAAUACCCUUAAAACUAUUUUAAAUAAAUUAAAUCAUUCAUCACAAUUUUUUCUAUUUGUGCUCCUGAUUUCUCUCUUUCACCAUCUCACUUUUUCAAAUUUUAUUGAUUUAUCUCUUCGACGUUCGUCUGCUAUGCUUUCGAUUUCUCUCUCCCGCAUUUUUAGAUUUCUCUUUCUUAUACUUUUAAGACAUCAAACAAUGGUUUUGAUGUACUUAGAUGAGUGACUAUUUGAAAAUUUUGAUUUUUAGGUAUUUUGGAUAAAACGAAAACGGUAGAAAUGAUUACAGAUGUUUGAAAUAGCUCUUAAUUAAUCAAUUCGGGACUUAGACACCAAUAAACUAAAAAUUUUUGAAAUUUAUAAACCUAGGUUUUCAAAUAAAAAAAUUUUUUUUUAGUUGAAAUAAGUGUUUUAGAUAAGAAAAUUUAUGUUUUAAUUUAUGAAAACAUGUUAGAAACACUUUAAUUGGUGCCAAAUUGUCACAAAAAAAAAAAAGAAAUGAGGAGAGUUGAGAGAAUUUGAAGUUUUGGUUCAUAAGUAACAACAACAUUUUAAGCAUUAAAGUGUAACGAAUUAUUUUUGAAUAUGACAUGUAAUAACAAUAUAUUUUUAACAUGGCGUGUAACAAUAGUAUUUUUUUUUCAACAAGACGUGUAACAACAAUAUUUUUUUUUCAAUAUGACGUGUAACAACCUAAUCAUAACGUGUCACAUGUUUUUGUACAUGACGUGUAACAACCUAACCAUGAAUUGUAACAACUUAAUCAUGACGUGUAACAUGUUUUCGUACAUGGAGUAUAAUAAUACUAUUUGUUUCCAACAUGUCGUGUCACACGUUUUUGUACAUGAUGUGUAAUAACCUAAUCAUAACGUGUAAUAUAUUUUUGUACAUGACGUGAAAUAUCAUAGCAUGUAAUUUCAUUAGAGGUAAUUUUGUCUAACUUAAUUAAAAAUAGUUAAAAUUAUAAAGAGAACUAUUUUUGAAAAUAUUUUAUCUUUAAGAAUUGUUUUUAAAAAUGCCCCAUUCUAAUACAUGAAACUUGCAAUUUCCCAGCUGUAUCAUUCCUUGCAAUAGACUCACAGCUCCCCCGUAACCAUAUGAAAAGAACCACGACACAACCUGCAACCACCACAACCUUAGACCCCCAAUAAACCUUAACAAACCAAAGAAAAUCAGUCACCAUAUCUGAUAUCACCCCACCUGCAACCGCCACAACCUUAGACCCCCAAUAAACCUUAACAAACCAAAGAAAAUCAGUCACUAUAUCUGAUAUCACCCCAUUAUCUCACUUAGUAACCUAAUAAAGGAAAAAGCAACAGCCACCUCAUACCACCACCUACGAACGUACCCUCCUAUCACUCACAGAACCUCAAGUGUAAGACCAAAGCAAAACAAACAUCCCUUAACACUUCCAGGAAGUAGCCUGCCAAACACAAUUUCAAAAGCACCCACCAACCACCGCCCAAAGAAACAUACAAGGACACCAAAACAGUUGGUCACCUUCUCUCAUCAAAAUAUGUUGUCAAAUCUUUACUCAAGAAGCCAAAAAACCAAAGCAUCCUAAAAUCGAGAAGAGAGGCAAAUCAAUCAUUAAUUGUACCCUACUGUUUUUGAAGAACCUUUCGUUCCCAUAGCACCACCAAACCUCCAACCCUACCAUUGGAUGGACUUAUCACCCAUUAUUGAUGUUUUAAUCAGCAUGAAGCAUCUUUCAAAGCUCGCAAAAUUGGAACUUUCUUCUCCCAUGCUCACAAAAUAACCAAACAAAGUUGCAAUUUCUUUGAAGGUCAUUCGGCUCCAUGAAUGAAUUGGAACCCCUCAAAUCACUAGCCAACAUUUCCUUUUACCCCAAUUAACAUCCGGGUUCCAAUCACAAAAAUUACAGAGCCAUUUUCCCAACCUUAUUCAACCUUCAGUUUCGUGCUUCUCCAUUAAUUCUCGCUAUUCAAUGGACACCAAAAUUCUCUCCUCAUAUUGUCUGGACUGCGAUCUGCAAAACAUGGCAUACAUGCAUGAGUGAGUUAACCCAUAAUGUUGUAACACGCCCUGCAUAUAACGUACAAUGUUGUAACAUGCCAUGCAUAUAACGUAAAAUGUUGUAACACACUAUACAUAUAACGUAAAAUUUUGUAACACUCCGUGUGUAUAACGUAAAAUGUUGUAACACGUCAUGCAUAUAAUGUAAAAUGUUGUAACACGCCAUGCGUAUCAAAUCAAAUGUUGUUACACGCCAACGCUGACACGCCAAUCAUUAUAAUUAAUGUAUCCUUACACUAACUGUCCUAAAAUACCCAUGACGUGUGUCACGCUAAUCAGUGUAAUUAUUGACUCAUUACACGAACUACCUUAAAAUAAUCAAUGUCGUGACACGUUAAAAACCUCAAAAAGUAGUUAACCCACUACACGCCAUAUUUGUUGUAGUUCAAAACUUUCGUACGACUAUAAAAUCGGAAAAAAAACAAUUUAAACAUAACAAUUGAAAACGAUUGAAAAAACACGAACAUAUCACACAAACCUAGCAAAAAAUUAAUGAACAAAAUAAAGUUUUAAAAGUUUUAUUUACAAACUGACUAACCUUUUCACUGAUAACCGACAUUGUUGCUGUGGUGUCGUCAAGCUUGCAAAAAACAAAGCCGAACACUCUGGUACCUUUGGGAAUGAGGAAUGAAUCAAAUCAAACUCUCUGAGUUCCUUAACACAGACGUUUGUGAUUUUUGAAAAAUAUUUAAUUUAAAUGAAAUGACCUCACAAUUUCCUUUAUAAAUAUUCAUUUAUUCAUUGAAUUCAUUCAAUGGACGUCCAAUCGGUUUCCUCGUUAUUUGUCCCUUUUUUUUUCCUUUUUCAAACUAGGUCGUGUCACAUGUUCAAGCCAUGCCAUGUCAUACACUCUAAACCCUAUCGUGUCAUAGAUCUCCAUGGAGUCUGACAAACUCUGAAUGCUGACGUGUCACAGAUUCCCUCCAUGGCGUGUCACAAACUCUGAACCUUGCCGUGUCACAAAUUCCCUCCAUGGCAUGUCACAAAUUCUGAACAUUGGUGUGUCACAGAUUCCCUCCAUGGGGUGUCACAAACUUUGAACCCUACUGUGUCACAGAUUCCCUUCAUGGCGUGUCAUAAGCUCUGAAUGCUAGCAUGUCACAAACUCUGAAUGCUGGCGUGUCACAGAUUCCCUCCAUGGCAUGUCACAAACUCUGAACCCUACCGCGUCACAGAUUUUCUCCAUGGCGUGUCACAAACUCUGAACACUGGUGUGUCAUAGAUUCCUUCCAUACCGUGUCACAGAUUCCUUCCAUGACGUGUCACAAACUCUGAACGCUGGAGUGUCAUAGAUUCCCUCCAUGCCAUGUCACAAACUUUGAAUGUUGCUAUGUUACAGAUUCCUUCCAUGCCGUGUCAUAAACUUUGAAUGCUGUCGUGUCACAGACUUUAAACCCUGUCGUGUCACAGCCAUGUCACACAUUUCCACCAUGUCAUGUUGCACAUUCCUAACAUGCCGUUUCACAAAUUCUAAACCCUACCCUGCCACAGCAAUGUCACAUAUGGUCUGCUGUAGCACGACCAUUUCGUGCUUUGGAUUCACAUCUUUCUUUUUUCGAUUUACUACCGUAUAAGAGAUUUUUGGUUUCACAUCAUUCUCCAAGCUUUCGAUUCAUCACAAUUGGUUCCUCAUUCGGUUUAAUAUUACUUUUCUCCUAUUAUCUGAAUGCCAUGUUCGAAAUUUUUGAAAAACCAUCUCAUGCAAUAUUAUUUUAUUUUGCACAAGCUUCACGAAAAAAAAUGGAUGUUUUGCACAAAAUUAGAUAUUUGCAAAUUCUUUGCAUAUUUAUUUUUUCAUUUUUUUGUCUGUUUGAGAGUACGCGUCAACGAAAAUGACUCAUUAAGGGUAUUUUUGUUUCAAAAUCUAUUUUCGUGACUAAAAACAGUUAAAAUUAUUUUAAAGCUUAUUUUUAAAAACACGUUAUUUUUAAGAGUUAAAUUUUUUUUUUAAAAUAAUCGUUGGGUAUUUUUCUACCAGCUUAAACUUUUGAAAUACUUGGUAAUCCAAUGCAACUUGGUUUUAAUUAGAGCAUCAGCUCUAUUGGAAUUUCUUUUUCUAAUUUGGCUAGAAUUCUCUCCCCUUCACGUUCGGUCAAUCAAGACAUGGGAUUUUUUGUUAGUCUUUUAUGCGAACCAACACUGAACAUCAUAUUUUCAGCACUCCAUGUGUCUUCGACAAAAACAGCUUCCUAUCAGCAUCGCCAUGCCUUUACAUGGGGUAGGUCAAAUUCCACUUGCUUCAAUACCACGCAUCAGAGUUCCGGCAGACCUGACUUUGCCACGUCAACACUCUCCCACCACAUGUCAACUCUUAAGAGGUCCACCUGAUAACAAUUUAACACAUGUUGUCCACGUAUCAGAUUUCUAGUGGUCCACAUCACUAAAGUGUCGGUAAUUUUGACUGAUUCGUACGUCACGUGCCAAUGUUUUAGUGAGCCACAUCAUUAGUUGACUCACCCAAGUUUGACCUAUUCAGGUCAUGGAUAGAGGUUUAAUCGUCUGGUUCAAGUGUCUUUUGAUCGGUUCUUCUUGCUUUUCGAUCGAUUUUAAAAGUUUCUUACUGUUUUCUUUCUUAUUUUGACCUUUGUUUUUCACAAAUCUACUUCUAUGAUAAUCUUUUUGCUUUCUCUAGUUUGAUUUGUGUAUAUAUUUUAAAUAAUUAUGGAGAAGUUUAAAAUUUCUAGGCCUAUUCAAACUCUUUUUGACAGUAAUAAUUAUUUGCUUUGACUGAAGAAAUUAUGGCUAGUUUUCUUAAAGGGAGGAAGCUUUGGCAAUAUGUCACUGGCGAGAUCAAUAAACCAACAAAAAGGAAAGAUGAGAAUGAUGCCGAAUUCUAUGAGCGAUUUCCAGACUGGGAUUGCAAAAAUCAUCAAAUGUUGACUUAUAUUUGCAAUACCAUUACUUCUGAAGUCAAAAGUUAGUUUGGCCGUGCUACCAUUGCUGGAGGGUAUUCCAUCAAAGGAUCCAAUAACAGUGUAGUUGUAUGUCCUGCAAACUAAUUAGUUGGCUGUAUAUAGAUAUAUUUUGUAAUUUAAACAUUUACAUUUAAUAAAAAUAUUUUUUAUUGUCAUAAAAUUAUUAAUGUUGACAAGGUGAAAUAAAGUUCAUGGAAUGUCUUAUGCUUUGCAGAAAGAAUUAUAAAGUGUUAUAAUUGUAUGAUCUUUAGGUUACGUUUGGUUAACGAAAUAUAUAAGAAUAAAAUAGAAUAGUUGGCUAUAUAUCUUGCAAAGGAUAUCCUGCAAUAACAGUGUCGUAUAUCCUACAAACUAAUUAGUUGGCUGUAUAUAUAUAUAUAUAUUUUGUAAUUUAAACAUUUACAUUUUACAAAAAUAUUUUUUAUUGUCAUAAAAUUAUUAAUGUUGACAAGGUGAAAUAAAGUCCAUGGAAUGUCUUAUGCUUUGCAGAAAGAAUUAUAAAAUGUUAUAAUCGUAUGAUCCUUAGGUUACGUUUGGUUAGCAGAAUAUAUAAGAAUAGAAUAAAAUAGUUAUUAUGUGAAAAUAAAAUAAAAUGGUAAUAAAAUAAAAUAGUUAUUACGUAGUUUGGUACGACAAAUGAAAUAGAUUAAGAAUAGUUAUUAUGACUUAUUGCAGUAUUUUGUUGGUAAAAAUAACUUUGGAAUAAGAAAGGAAUAGAGUAUAAAAAUAUAAAAAUACCCUUUAUUAUAUAUAUGAUUAUUUAUUUUUAUUUUAUAUUAUUUUUUAAAUAUUAAUAAUUUAUAUUUUAUUUAAAUAUUAAUAAUUGAUCAUCUAAAUAUUAAUAUUUUAUUUAUAAUUUAAAAUGCUAUUAUGAUUAUUUAUUUUUAUUUUAUUUUUAAAAUAUUAUAUUUAUAAUUUAUUUAAAAUAUUUAUAAUUUAAAUAUUAAUCUUUUAAUUAUAAUUUAUAAUUAAUAUUUAAUUUAUAAUUUAAAUGUUAUUAUGAUUAUUUAUUUAUUUAUAUUUAUUUAAUUUAUUUUUAAACAUUAAUAAUUUAUAAUUAAUUUAAAAUUAAUAAUUAAUCAUUUAAAUAUUAAUAUUUUAUUUACAAUUUAAUCAUUAAUGUUUUAAAAUAUUAAUAUUUUAUUUAUAAUUUAAUCAUUGACAUUUGAAAAUAUUAAUAUUUUAUUUAUUACGAUUAAAGCAUAAAUAAUUUUAUUUAAUUUUUAAAAUUAAAAUGUUAUUUUUUAAAUUUAUAAUUGAUCUUUUAAACUUUUUUCUUUUUUAUAAUAAUAUUAGUAAUUGAUAAUUUAAAUAUUAAUAUUUUAUAUAUAAUUUAAUCAUUAAUAUUUUAUUUAUAAUUUAAAUAUUACUAUGGUUCAAAUAUUAAUAAUUUUAAUUAAUUUUUAAAAUUUAAAUAUUAUUUUUUAUAAUAUAUAAUAUGUAAUUUUUUUAAAACUUAUAAAAGACAUUUUAGUUUUUAUCAUUUUUUGAGGUUAUUCCUUAACUAAGGAAUAGCUAAUUAAUGCCAUGGGGGGUGUUGGUUUAGCUAUUCCUUGAUUUUAACUUAUUUUGAGAAAUAGCCAUUUUAGAGGAAUGGCUAUUCCUUGAAGCAUGUAGGAACCAAAAAAAGGAACAUAUGUUCCUUAGGAAUAGAGGGGGAAUGGCUUAGCCAUUCCUCAAAUCAAACAUGCUAUUAUUGUAUCAAAGCAUAAAUUACUAUGUUGUUGCUUAUCGAUAUUUUAUUAUCACGAAAAAUAGAUAUUGAUAAAACUGAGAAAUUGACACAUGAUUAUGUUCUUCACUUAAGAAGAGAACAAUCAAUUUCAUAAAUUUAAGUAUGAAAUACUUGAACUAACAUGUAAGUACUUGUUAUAAGAAUAAGUUCAUUGAACAUGAUCCACAUUGAGAAUUCCAAAUGCUACUUCACUCAAAUGUUUAUAUAUGGAAUAAAAACUCAUGUGACAGUUAUGUAAGUGAUUUUUGAAUAUUGAUUUAUCGAGUUGUCUUAUGCAUGGAGUGUUAUACUUUGAUGUUGUCUUUAAUGGUCUUAACUAAGGAUGCUUAUAAAGGAUGGAUAUUGGAUAUAAGAUGAACGACAUGAAGGCAAUCGAUAGAGAAUUCACUUUUCUUAGUGAUACUUCGGGGAAUAUCCCAAUUGCAUUUUGAUAAGUAAUAACUCAAAAGCGUCUUUGGCCAAGGUAAAAUGAGAAUUUGGAGAAGAAGUUGAUUACAAAAAUCAAGAGCGAACAUGCUAUAAACAACAUAAAAUAGACAUCAAGCAAUAAGUUAUGUCUUACAGGGAUAUUAGUAGAUGAAACUAUUCAUUAAAAGGUUAAGUCAAACCAUUAUGACUAUUCUUGGCAUUUGAGUAGUCAUAAUGCAUUACUAGAUUUCAAUCUUGACUUAUAAGUAUGAAUUAAUCAAUUUGAGAAUUGAUGAUGGAUGUAAGAAAGUUUGAUUCAUUUAAGACAUACAUACUUCAAAUUAUAUUUUAUAUUUAUUAUCAACAUAUUAAGAACUUAAUAGAUCACACACAUGAAGGAUGAUUGAGGUUAGGUUGAUGCUAUUGUUGCCGAAUUGUUAGCCAUCUAUGAGGCAAUUAUGAUCUUUGUUGCAGCUGAUUGGUGCAAUGGUUUGGUCUUAUUAUUGAAAGUGAUUCAAAAAAUGCCGUCACUUGUGUUAUAAAGCCUUCUUCCUCUCACUGGAAGCUUCGAAAUCUGGUUCUUAAGAUCAAGGCAGUGCUUUGGAAGGUCCCUAGGUGGCAGAUCCUUCAUAUCUAAAGGUCAGGUAAUCUGAUGGCAGAUAAUCUUGCCAAGUUGGGGUGAAAGAGUUAAUGACCUGUUGCAAGUCCUGCACUAAAUUUCAAUGGACGGUGACUGUUGAUUGUUGGUCGGCAUUUGUGUUGGAGUUCGUAGGCGUUCAUUUCUUACUCUGGAUUGUAGGAGGAUAGGGUGUUGAUUUUCGUUGGAUUAACUCGCAUCAAGUCUUCUGUUUUGAUGCUCAGAUUUAGCAAGAGCUGGGAAUAGCGAAUUUGUUCUCAUGUCUUGCUUAUUUCUGUCAGGUUUAAUGUCUGUUGUUUUGGCUUAUUUCCCUUCUUAGCGCAGGUUCAUCGGCUUCACUCGUAAAUUGGGAUAGAUUUGGUUUCUUUGUUUCCGUAGGACAAGGAGGGGAUACUGGUAUUCUUGUUACCAGUCUGUAUUGGACUCCCUUUAUGGAAUGAAUUACUUAAUUUUCAAAAAAAAAAAAGAGAAAUUAAAGUCCAACGUAAUUACAUUGAAGUUUUGAACUUUAAUGGUUUAAUUGAAAUGGUUAAUUAAAUCAUGGGAGCAAUUUUGUAAUAACUUAAUAGUUGAGCUAAACCUAAUUUGUUGAUACAAGUAAAAUGUUUUAGCUAACCCAAAGGGAGGGAAAAAGAGGUCGAAAAGAAAAGAAAAAAGAAGAGAAGACAACUUUGAACGGAAGCCCAAGUGGUGUAACUACCACUUCUGGGGAACAACCAUACAUUAUAUACAAGGUGCAACAAAAAAUUAAAAAUUUUCUCUUCAAGUAAGAUCAUCUUUUACUUUAUUUAAUAUAAAAACACAAUAAAUUUUUUUGGAAAGGCAAAAAAACACAAUCAUUGGUAGAAGAAUCAUAAACUGUUAUGAUCUUUGAUGUUGAAAUGAAGAGGUUAACAAGUUGAAUUACCAAAUUCUUCAACCCACGGCCUCUAACGGUAAUCCAUAGGAAUGGCUAGUGAAGAAAACUCCAAGAAAGAAAUGCUUAAUGUCAUAGACUACGUCCUUUGGUUUAAGUAUGAGAUAACUUGUGCAGUGUUCAAUGUUAUUGAUUUCUCACACAAGUACAUGUAUCGUUAACAAAUAAUAUAGUGAUAAAUAGAAUAUCGAUCUUACAGAUAAUUAUUUUAAUUCUUAUUGUUAACUAUUAAAAUUAUAACACCAUAAUUUUAUCUAAACAAUUAAAAAUUAAAUUAAAAAGAAAAACAAACUAAUCUAAAUUAACCAAAAAAAAUAUUUUAUUAAAUUUGAUUGACUUUUAGACCUAAGAUUAUGAUUUUCCUCAAUACUUCAUCUGAUUAUUGUUUCUUUCUCUUAACUGAGUUUAAUGGAUUAAGUUGCUAACUUAGAGUCCUAAAUUAUUUAUAAGUCUCUGUCGAGUUUAUCAUUAAAAUAUCUCUUCAAAUUAAUUUACUAUAUGUCUAUGGAAAUUAAAUUAAAGAAAGAUUCAUUAAGUUUGUGCUCUAAUUUUGUCUACGUAUGGCUUAUAGGUGUAUGUCUACCAUAUAUGCAAAUCAAACCACUUAAUCAACUAAGUGUAUUUGAUCAUACGCUAUUCUAUUCAAGGUCUACUUAAAUCUUUCUCUUAUCUUUCUAAUAGUCUAAGAAUCAUUUUGUUUGGAGUUCUGUAAAGCGAGCUAUGAUCAAAAAUACCGAAAUAUGUACAGUAAAAAUCUACACCUUAAAAUUGCUCUCUUUCUUCCAUUAAAAUUCUUCUUUCAUUAAACACCUACAAAAGCACAAAUAAAUCAACAACAACCUAUCUUAAUCACAUUAACACCAAAUUAAGUAGGAAAUUAACUAAGAUUAGAUUGACUCACCUAAAUUAACUAAUUUAAAUAAUUUAAAUAAAAUAUACUAAUUUCUAUGCAUUAUUACAAGAACUAAGCUAAAUUACCAUCAAAAUUAAGUCCAAAUAACUCUAUAUCAGAGAGUUAUCACUCAAGUGGACGCUUCCACACAAGCCAGCCAAUAACUAGAUUAUAUUUGAGCAAACAUCAAUAAUAGCCACUAGUUAGUUUAUGCAAAAGCAAUACCAAAAGCAUAAGGCGUAAAGAAUGCCAUAUAUGCAACCAUUGAAUUCAUAUAAAAGGAAAAUGUUUUAUUAAUAUUAAAAGUAAGUACAAAAGGACCAUUAUUACUAACACAUCAUUGUUGAGCCAUAGGGAUAGCCCUAGAUGGUUAGCUAUAAACAUAUAUUUACCAAUAAGGCAGCCCAAUAAUCUGCCGACUGCUCACCCCCUAAAAAAAACUAAUGAGUUUGUGGCGGAGUUCUUUUGUGGAUUGAAACAUAAUUGAGCCACAUUUAGUAGAUUAGACCAAUUCUUCUAGUUUACUUGCACAAAGUGUCACAAAUAUUCUUUUAGUAGUCCGUUAAAGCAUUUCGUUUGGCCAUCUAUAUGUGGAUGAUAACUAGAGGAGAUGUUGAGUUUUUACCCCAAUGCUUGAAAAGCUAUUUUCAAAAGAAACUAGUAAACCUUGGAUCCUUGUCACUAAUAAUGCUUUUAGGAACAUCUCAAUAUUUUACCACAUGCUUGAAAAUUGUAUGAACUGUUCCUUCUGUAGAGCCAAACUUCAGUACCAGAACAAAUGUAAGGUACUUUGAAAAAUAGUUCGCUACCAUCAGAAUAGCCGUCAUAUCUCCCAUCUUAGAGAUCUUUACUAUGAAGUCAAGAGAAAUGCUUUCCCAUGGUCUAGUUGGUAUUGGUAAAGGCUUGAGCAUUCCCAUCAGUUUCUAUCUCCUUACUUUGUUUUGUUGGCAAAUAAAACACGUCUUGGUAUAAUACAUCACAUCCUACCGCAUAUAGGGUAAAUAGUAAACUUGUUUCAAUAAUGCCACAAUGUACUGCCAACUUAGAUGUCUUGCUUAUGAAGUGUCAUGACUUUCUCGCAUCAACUUUUGUCUUAGCUCUCCAACUCUCGGAACAAACAUUUGUGGCCCUUUGGUUAAUAUGAGUUCAUUUUCCACCCAAAAAUUCUUAGACUUCCAAUUCUCCACUAAUUUAAUGAUGGUAAUGGCUUGGGGAUCUUGUCUUAAGUUCUCUUCAAUAAAGUUAUGAAUGCCCAUAUUUACUACCUGCUGUGAUCAGAGCUAUCACUCUGAGAGCUACGAAUUCAACCUUUCUGCUCAAGGUGUUUGUCGUUUGGUUAGCCCUUUCAAACUUAUGCUUGAAGUAUAAAUCAAACUCAGUUAAGAACUCUUGCCAUCUCGCUUAUUUGGCCGUGAGUUUCAAUUGAGUGAAAAAGUGAUUGACUAUAGUAUUGUUUGUCUUAACCACAAAUUAGGACCUUUAUAAAUAGUGUCGCCACGCUUGUAAGCAAUGAAUUACUGCUAAAAACUCUUGUUCCUGCACUAUGUAUCUCCUUUUAGCUUCGUUUAACUUUCAACUUUUAAAUGCAAUUAGAAGUCUUUUUUACAGUAAUACCCCUCCAAGAACAAAGUGUAAUACCCCAUAUUUUGAUAUGGUGGCUAAUAAAGUUUACAGAUGCCAAUUGAGGUUAAUUACUGAGUUAAAAAGGGUAAUUCAGAAGUGAACCUAUGAAAUCUCGAUCUCCAUAGACACAUAACUAGAAGUAGACUUGAUAAUGGGAACUAGGGGUAAUUUCAUAAUUUCCCUUGGUGAGCUCCUACGAGUGGGUUUUCUUGAUGCUAUGAAGGUCUAAAUAGGCCUAAGGAAUGAAUAAAUGAUGUUUAUGAUGGUAAAUAAAUGAAGAAGAUAAAAAUAAUGAUAAUUUUCAUGAUAAGGGCAAAAUGGUCAUUUUGCAUCUCGAGUCUAAAAUUUUAUGUUUUCAUGAACCCGAGUAUUUCUAGACUAUUAUGGACCUUGCCUUAGUGUCAAAAGAGUAAAAGGUUGCACAAAGGAUGAGAGGAAGACAAAGUCACCAUAUUAAGGGCAUUUUGGUAAUUUAAGUGAGAAAUGGAUAAACUUUAGAUAUAAAUUUCUAAAGCUCCAGCAGCUUCCAGCCAUUUCUUCUUCCUUCCCAUCUCACGUUUCUUCAUCUCCAUGGGAGCCUCCCAUAAAGCUUCCAUAACUUUCUCUCUCUAGCUUCAAUUUUCAUGCUUUUGAACACUUCUUCAUGGAACUUUUUGUUCUCUUUCACUCUCUCACCUUAAAACCCUUUAAAAGUCUUUGUUCAGCACUUUCUCUCACUAGUUGAAAAUUUUAGAGAGUGAAAGAGAGAGAGAGAGAGAGAGACUUUUCAUAAUAGCUUGAGUAUUCUUGAGAAGGAAUUCAACUACAAAUCCACUAAGGUAAGUAAUGAAUGAGGAUUGAUUUAGGUUGUUGAUAAUGGCUAGUAAUUGGAGUUGUGAGUUGUUUUAUUAUUGAGGUUUGUUUAUUUAUUUCUAGAGUUACUAGAGUAGAAAGAAUAGAUAGCCAUUUAAUGGCAAUUGAUAGCUAGUUAGGAAUAACUAGUGGAACUUGAUUUAGGAAAGAGCUUUUGCAAUUAUAUUAAUGCCAAUUUGGGUUGGUUGUGAUAUUGUGUGUGACAAUAGGUUCCAAUGAGGCCUCGCAUGUCCAUUUGAAGCAAUAAUCAAAGUUAGAGUCAAUUAAAGAUUCAACAAAUAUCGGUGAGUGAAUUUGCAUUUCAAAAUUAUUUUGGGAAAAAUAAUUGUAUUUGUAUGAAACAUUUGAAUGAUUUAUUUCAACUUUUCUCUAAAAAUGUGUGCCGGAGAACAAGCCCUUCAUAAAACGUUUUGAUGUUGUGAAAAUGUGAAAUGUGUAAAAAGACGAACCUAUGUGCUCCUAUAUUAUGUUGAUAUAUACAUAUAUAUACGGAUAUAUGUUGUGCAUUGAUGAAUAAUGUUGUGUAAUGAUAUUGACUCGGCUAUGUGCGAGUAGGAGUGAGCAUAAGUCGAUGAUGACCCGACUAUGUGUUAGUGGGAGUGCGCAUAAGCCGAUGAUGACCCGACGAUGUGUGAGUAAGAGUGCGCAUAAGCCUAUGAUGACCCAGCCAUGUGCUAGUGGGGAAUGCAUAUGAGCUGAUGAUGAUGGGAGGGUGUGCAUGAUGAUGGAUAUAUAUAUAUAUAUAUACAUACAUACAUAGAUAUGUGUGUUAUAGAAAGUUUAUGAAAAUAAUUGUGAUUGUGUUAUGUGUUGGCUUUGUUAAUUGCUUCCAAAAUGCUUUUCAUUUCAACAAGAAAGUGGCUUUUGAUGUAACAAGACCUAUUUCACUUAAAAUGCUCUGUUUCUCGCUGUAGCAAGAUUCAUUUUUGCUACAACGAGAAACUCUCGGGUUUUUAGGGGUAACAUUGGCCUGAUUCUCGCUGCAGUGAGAAACUCUGGAGUUCUAGUGCAGUGCUUUCACUUUGAUGAAGAUUUUGACCACUUUCCCAUUGAACUUGAAAAAGUGGUAAAUAUAAAAGUUGUAGCCCUGCCUCUUAGCUUUCAAAUGGUUUAAAAAUCAGGUCAAUUGGACUUCUGUAGUGGAAGAUAUGAUAGCAAAACUGGAACAUAUGCAAACUGAGACUAUUUCUCGUUGCAGCGAGAAACUUGCUGCCAUUCUUGCUACCUUGCUUGAUUUUGACCUAUUUUUCACCCAUUUAACUUCAUGGAUUGAUCAUGGGUUUUUGCAACACUAUGAGGUUAUUGAUCAAAGUUUGAAAUGAGGGUUUUUUUAGUAAGAAAUUAAAUCAAGUGCAUUGUUUUUGAAGCAAGUGCAUCAUGAUUUCCAAAUUUCUUCUAUCGAUUGCUUGUUCCCUUCUUAUGUUCACUCAUUGAGUUUUGUACUCAUGUUUUUAAACUUCAUGUUUUCAGAUUCAAAGGCAGUUGGGACCUAGAUUGAGUGUCCACGUAUGCUCGUCCUCUUGGUAGGAACUAUGGCAUCUCAGUAGUUGUACCUUCACCCACGGUCACUCCGCUGACGGUCAAAAGUCUGUUAACUAUGAACAUGUAUAUGUAAUGUAAUCUGCUAAGAUCCAUAUUAUAAGUCAAUUAUGUAUAUUUGAUUACUGAUGCCACUAUGAGUUGGUAAACGGGUGAUAUUAUUUUGAAAUAAUAAAAUUGUGAGUUUUGGGUCACUAUAGAAUAUUAUUGAAAUAUUUUUAGUUCAAAAUUUCAAUAUGUGGUUUUAGAAAUGAUGGUUGGGAAUGAUGAUCGAGUUUGCAUAAAAAGGCUUGCUUGGGCUUAGUGAGCUAUGCCCAUUGGGCCCAUGCAUCGAUCAUGGCCCGGUAUUUGGGCUGUGACACAAAGUUUGACACAUCUGUUUGCACUUUGAAAGGUUUCAAUAUUUGAGAGUGCUAGGAUAAGGUCUGUCAUCAUUACUUCCUUCAAGUCUUAGAAAGCUUCUAGACAUUGAGGUGUCUAAUCCCACAUUUAUCCUUUUUUAAGCAGUUUCGUAAAUAUCAUUGUCUUUUUAGAAUCUCUUUCCAUAAAUCUCUAAUAAUAGUUGACUAGCCCUAAGAAUGAGCAAAGUUUAGUCGUAUUUUUAGGAAUUUCCUACUUUUUAAUAGUCUUCACUUUCUACAUAUCCAUUCGGAUGUAAACUUACUCAAUUAUAUGGCUUAGAAAUUGAAUUUGGGUUUGAGCGAAUGCACAUUUAUCUUUUUUCACAUACAACUAGUUGUCUCACAACCUUUGUAAAACUUGUUGCAAAUGCCUUUGAUGUUCCUCUAAGGUUGAACUAUACACCACAAUGUCGUCCAAAUAGAUUACCAUGAACAUGUGCAGAUAAUCAUGGAAAACCUGAUUCAUCAAUAUUCAAAAAGUGGCAAGAGCAUUGGUUAGUCCAAAAGGCGCAACAAAAAAUUCAAAUGCACCAUACCGAGUUACACAGGUGGUAAGACCUUAGGUAGCUAUUUUGGCAUCAUAUCCUUAAAUUUUUCCGAAACCAACUUAACUUCAACAACUAUUAAAUUUGUGUUAUCUUUGCCUUUGUAGAUAGGCAUAAGCACAUUAAAAAGUUUUUCCUUUUUAAUCCCCUUCUUAAACUAGAUAGUUGAUAUAAUCUUCUUCCUAUUCUCAACUAGAAUUGUAGUUGGUACCACGUGUAGACACCCAUUUUUAUCCCAUUCAUUUUUGUAUUUACUUAUUUCUAUUUUUUUUAUCUUUUUGCUAUUUUUAUUUUAUUUAUUAAACAUCCUCUUUAUUUUAUUUAUAUUUCCUUGCUUUUAUUUAUUUUAUAUGUUCUGGGAUUAUAUUGGGGCCUAAAUUGAAAUAUUCUAUUUGCCUAGGCCUUGUUGGGAUUCUUUUUAAUGUUUUGUGAGCCUUAAAUCGUACAAGGAAAAAUGCACACUGCCAUAGGCAAAAACAUGAAGAAUCAACGGCUAACCGAACACUAAGGAAAACAUUUUCAACAUCUAUAUAAAGACAAAUUGUUUCAAAGAAAGAGGGUCGGAUUCCACAGAAAAACCCUCGGAUUCCCUAGUAGCGGUAGCUAAUUUUCCAUAAAAGGCUUAGGCAACCAAUUUCAAAAAAAAGAAAAAAGAAAGAAAGCCCUAGAAUCAAUAGCAAAACCCUAAAUUUGUUUACCUUAUCAGUUGCACACAACCAUAUACCACAACCCAGAAAUAACAUAACCAGAAAUUGAAACUAGAAAUGAGAGUAAAAAAAUCAACAAACAAAAUAAAGAGAAAACAAUGCAAAAAUGAGGAAAAUGAGAGGUUUUCUUUUUUGUCUUUGGGGAUUUAGGGAGUUUUAAGGUUCAAAGGUUUUCGAUCUCUCUUUCAUUUGAUUGAAGGAGAAAAAAAAGAGUUGGUUUUUGAGACGAAAGAAAAGUAGAGUGUUUUUUUAUGUGGUGUUAUUGGUGGUGGGGGAGAUGUUGGUGAGAAAUAGGGUAGGCUUUGGGUCUUGGGGCUUAGAGAGAAUAAGGAAAGCCGCACCUUAGAGUGAGAAAAUGAGAGUGAAACUGAGAGAGAGAAAAAAAAGGGAAUUUAUAGUUAGGGUUGUAAGGAGCAAGGUAAAAAAAAGGGAGAGGGCUGGUCUUGCAAAUAGACUUGGAGGAAUUUGGAAUAAGUCCAUAUUUUUGCUCGGUGUCUUGCCACUAGAAGUAGGCUAGCAGAGGUGGGCCGCAGCUAGCCCAUGCGAGAAUUAACAGAUUUUGCUAACUUUUGGGCCUACUUGUGUCCACUUGGUAUGGGCUUCUCUCACCUAUUUUUGUUAUUUUUUAGAGGAUAAAGAAAAUUUAUAGGUGAUUUGGUAAUGUUGGUAAAAAAUGUUUUGAUUAUUUUAGAGGAUAAUGAUUUUAUAAAAAAAUAAAAAUGAUAUACAAUUGGAUAAAUAGUGAUUUCAUUGGUUACAAGAUAAUGAAUAAAUUGAAAGAAUAUAUCAACAAUAAUUUGAUUAGUAUGAAUAAAAAGUAAACAUGCUUAUUUUUUGUUAAUUGCUAAUAUACGAAUAUUGUGAAUGAUUUUAAAAUCUAUACUAUUUUAUAUAUAAUUACUUAAACAUUGCAUUUAUAUUUAUAAAAUAGAAAUAUAUGGAUAAGAUUGUAGAUAAUAAUUAACAAUAUAAAUUCUUUAUUUUAUUUUUUUAAAAUAUUAUAAUUACCAAUUUUAGGAAGAUAAGAUAAGUCAAAAAUAUGAAUCCAUAACAUAUUUAAAAAGAAGUCCAUUUGAUACAUGUCAGUUUAUAGGGUGUCUACAUCGAGAUAUGAAAAAGUGGUUUUAAAGCUCUUACUGCAUUUUUGGUAUGGGAAAUAGCUAUGUUAUUCCCUCUCUAUUCUUAGCUAUUUGUUGUAACUUUGUUUAGUUUAGUAGUGCAACCAAUAAUAGGAAUUUUUGAGUAAUACCUAUUCUUUAAAAUGGGUAAAAACUCCUCUUCAAGUAAACCCAAUUUUCCCCCUGGUAUUAUCUAUUCCAUGUCUCAUGGAAUAGCUGUUAAACUUGUUAUUGUCACGACCCAAUUUUUCAGGCCAUGACCGACGCGUGAGCUCAAUGAGCAUAGCUCACUAAGCCCAAGCAAGCCUAUUCAUUUACCUUUGCUUAACAAAUUUAUCAUAUCAUGCAUACACACACUUUUUUCCGAGUGUGAACAUAGCCAAAAUACAAUGGCAUUAUCGAUAAUAAUAUACAUGCACUAUACCAGUCAUGUAUUUAGCAAUUUAUAUUGCAUACACAUAUUCACAUUGUUAGAUUGUAUUCACAAAACAAAAGGACCCAUGACUUCUAGCGGAGACAUUUACAAUAAAAGGGAUUACUAUCGAAUGCCAGACACAUACCCAAGAGAUGUACUACAGGGACUCCUCGAUCUAGGGUCCAACAGUCACCUGAUCUGAAAACAUGAAUUUUUUUAUAAAACGUGAGUACAAUACUCAGUGAGUGAACAAGAAGGGAACAAGCAUACCAUAAGGAAUGUUUAUCGAAAUCAUGAUGCAUUCAUUUUCUCAAAACCAUGCAAUUGUUUUAGCUCCUUUAAACCCCUCAUGUAAACCCUACAUGAGUAAAUCACUUUACAUAAAUCCAUGCUCAACUAUGCUACCAAAGAAAUGGGAAAUAUGGUAAAAACCCACAAGUUAGCAAAAUGGACAGAAAGUUUCUCACUGUAGCGAACUUCAUUCUUGCUGCAGCGAGAACCAGAACAUCAAGGAAAAAGUUUCUCUUUUCCCUUAAAACAAGUUAUCCUGCUAAAAUAACAAUAGCAACAUGUAACACAUGUAAACUUUCAAAUUUCAACAAAAUAAAUGCUUACAUAUUUGCAUUUACAACCAUAUAUCCAUCAUCAACAUGCACACCAUCCCAUCAUCAUCAUCAUGCACACCAUCCCAUCAUCAUCAUCAUCUCAUAUGCAACGGCUUAUACUAUUGUCACUAGGGGGUGGGAGAUCAGGAAGUAGCCCCCCCUUCGCUACGGUGGCAUAACAUGGUACCUAUCAGAGCACUUGGCAAGAGGUGCACUUCACUUAGGAUCACGAAGCAAUGGAGCAGUCCCUUCCCUCCUUUUCCAAGCUCUUGGGAUAACAUGGUACUUAUCAGAGCACUCGACAAGAGGUGCACUUCACUCCAGAUCACGAAGCAACGGAGCAGUCCCUUCCCUCCUCUUCCAAGCUCCUGGGACGUACCACUCAACCCCUUCGCUACGGAGGCGACAAACGGUACCUAUCAGAGCACUCAGUAAGAGGUGCACUUAACUCCGGAUCACGAAGCAACGGAGCAAUCCCUUCCCUCCUUUUCUAAGCUCUUGGGCGAAGAGUCAUACUUCGCCACAGAUCAUAUGCGAGAGUUCCCAGGAAUAGGGUUAUCUUUCCCUUUGCUCUGAUACCAAGUUUGUCACUAGGGGUGGGAGAUCACGGAGCAUCCCCCCCUUCGCUACGGAGGCAACGACGGCUUAUGUGCACUCCCACUCACACAUAGCCGGGUCAGUAACGGCUUAUGUGCACUCCUACUCGCACAUAGCUGGGUUCAAAUCAACAUGUAAAGAAGCAUCCAAUGCAUAUCAUGCAUUUUAUCAUAUUGUGAUAACACAUAAACCAUUGUGUAGCACAUUUUCACAAUAUAAAAUCAUUUUACUAAAAGCUUGUUCCCAAGGUACAUUUUUUAAGACAAGUUGGAUAGAAUCUUUCAUAUUCCCCAAAACAAGUUUGAAAUGCAAGUUCACUCAUCGGUAUUAGGAGUAGAAAUACUCCUAUUUUCAGUCCGCGGGUACAGUUCUUUACCCGUAUCCAAUGGCUCACCACCUAGCCAUAAUCCAUGACACAUAUUCCAAUUAAAUUGUGUCGAAUAGUAAUAAGCUAUUUCAGGCUCGAUAUAUAUAUGAUAUGAAAUGAAAAAUGCACGGGUAGCCAUCUAGACCCGAUAUUGGCCUAAGUCGAUUUUUCAUCCGAUAAAUUGGCCAAUGCGUCCAAUUUCACUCCAAAUUAAUCCAUUUCUCCUAUAAUACCUUAAUUUACCAUAUACCAUUUAAAUAAAGCCAAAUUCAGCAUUAGAACCCUCACAGUUCCUUAUAGAAAAAUUCGAUCAUUUGGUGCACUAGCACCAAAAAUUUUUCUACAUAACCGUUUCACCUUAAUUCAUCAUUUUCCAAGCCAUUUUCCUUGAAAUAAAAACAAUCCCCCAUUGAUAUUCAGCCCUCAUGGUUCGGCCAACAAGGAACCCUAGAGAAAUUGAAUAUUUCUUUUGUGUUUUUGUUCAUAACCAUGCUUAACUAUCCCUAAACACUAACAUAGUCUAAAAUCAAAUUAUUCCAACAACAAUUCCUCUUCCAUACCCAUUUUUCAGAAUUGAAUUCAUCAUGAUAACUCAAUAUUCAACCAUGGAAAUCAAGAACAAAAGAAUGGGUAAGCUAGGUAUCAAGGAGAAUUAAAGAAAUUUUAACUUACCUAGCUUGUUUCCUUGAUUUCUUCACUUUUUCUUUGAAUUUUCACCUAGGUUUUCUUGUUUUUCCCUUUGUUCUUCCUUUUUUCUUGUUGCUGGUUGUCUAGGCCAAAUAUGGUGAGAGAAUUGGGGAUUUAAUGGGCUGAUUUCUAUAGAAAAUAAUAAAAUAAUCAAGCAUGCCACAUGUCACAUGCUUAUUGGCCCAAUUUUUAACUUUUUGACUUUUUCUUCUUGAUUUUUCAUCACAAUUAUUCUGGUAUUUAUCGAAUCCUACCACAUUUAAAAUCCCUUGGUCUUGACAAGUGCUGGGGCAAAAAAUUUCCCGAUUUGCCCCCGGGGUGAAAAAAUGACGAUUUUACCCCUAUACUCCAAAAAAUGUACCGGAAUCAAAUUAUUUCUACUUUUCAACCUCAAAUAACACUAACAUUGAUCAAUAUUAACCAAAUGGGGUAAAAAAACUCAUUUUAUAAAAAUUUUUGUUUAGUCUUCUAGUGGUAAAAUUACCAUUUUGCCAUUGUGCUCCAAAAAUACCAAGAAUCAUAAUUUUUUUCACUGCUAAACAUCAUUUUAUACUCCAAUAAUCAUAAUUAUAUUUCAUAUAAUUACUCUUGGUCAAAUGUGAUCAAAGCUUGGCUAAAAAUCUCCAUUUUAUCAUCAAAUGGUAAAAUGACCGUUUUGUCCCUAAUCGGUCAAUUUUCCUGAUGGACUCCAAACUGGACCUUGAACUCCGAAUCACUAUUUCUAAGCCAUUUUGUGGGUUUCAAAAUUUUCAAUUUUCUCUUGGAAUUUCUAUUUGAAUUAGUUCAAGACUCGAUUUAACUUAGUUGUACCACUCGGUACAAUACCGUCUUUUAAUCGAGCUUGCCAAGGUCUCACAAUUAUGACUAAAUUACCCCUCUUAGAUUUAGAAAAUCACAACCCUAUCCAUAUAAAACAUUUUUUUCUUUCUCUUCCUUUUUUCCCUCUUUCUCUCAACCGCAUGGUUCUCUUCCACAGUUUAGGGUUCUGUCAGUAGCACUGCCUCUGUCAUCCACCUUUCUAGCUACAUUAUUCUCUUUCAUAGUCCAGGAACUUGCUUAUUGUGUUCUUGUUUUCUAUUGAAGGUGGAAAUAACCUAGUGUUGAAUUAUUUUGAAAAUGCUAUGAUUUGUUUUUAUCUAACAUGUGUGUUUCUCGAUAUUUUAGUUGUGGGUCGAGUUUGUUCUCCUUUAUUUCUUUGAUUCAUUGUCAAUAUUAUAGAUUAUGCUUAGUGGCUAUGAUUUGGGACAAGCAAUGGCAUCCUUCCCGUCAUCACCUUCAACUACUAUGAUUUCUUUUAUAACUUUGCAAUAAGUUAUACUCAUUAUUUCAAGUUGCUCCAUGCUAUUAGCAGUAGAAGAUGUUAUCAAAUUUAUAUGUCCGUGACACUUUGACACUUCCCAAUAUUUGAAAAGAUUUUGCAAAGAUACUGAAAAAGACACUAAACUGUCUAGUUUGUUACAUCUUAAUUUUUUUAGGGUUUUCAAGUUUUGAAACACUGAUCUGGGUUCAAACUUUCCCUUCCAAAGAUGUGUCAGCUCAGAAAGUUUAGAUAGGUUUAAUUUGUAUAGUUAAUUUAGUGUCCAUGCAUGCUUUUCCUCACCAUCUAAUUCUUCCCAUUGAAAUAUUUGACUAAAGGAAGCAUUACUCGCAAUAAGCUAGGGAAUAUGGGAAAAAUGACCAGAAAAAGUAAGAUGAAAGAAUAGUUGAUUGCUUAGGUAAGUGUAUGAGCUUUAAGACUUUUAGUUUGAGGAAAUAUUGAACAACUGGAAGUUGUCUAAGCCAAAUCUUUUUCAUAAAAGAUUUCUGUUCCAACCAUAGUUCUUCUAAAGAAGGAAAUGUCACCUAGAAAUUGGAGAAUUAAGGUGUCAAACCAAAACCAAGGGAUAAAUACCAUAUAAAGGAUAUGAAAGGGUAGUGGUAAGCACAAUUAUUUGUCAUUUAUCAAGAUGAAACUUUUAGUAAGUUUUCAAUACUUUGUUAUACAGGAGAGCUAUAUUGAGAAAGUUCUUACUCAUGAGUAUCGCAUGGCACCUAAUUAAAAUCAAGACUUCUCCUUGUGAUGUUUUUUCAGUUGCUCUUUAAUUAAUAUUUUUUUCUCUGUUCUUUAAGCAUAUAUUUAAAGCAUCUCAAGGCUAGAUAUGCUAAUUUUAAAUCAGUGCACUAUGAAAAGCACAUAUGUUUGUGACGUCAAAGCAAGUAGUAGCACAUUAUAGAACUGCUAUGGUAUAUAUCAAAGUCAAAUCUUUCCUCUGCUUCUGUUAGUAGGCACUUAGAUACAUGAAUUAUUUCCUUUUCUUUGCUUGUCUCUUUAACCCAGUCGCACCACCUUUCACAAUUAAAAACCAUUUUGAUUAAGGAAAAAAAUAGAUACAUAAAUUCCUUUUAACAAACUUAGGCAAAGUAUGUUGGAGGUUUAUUUUUUGAUGGCUUCUCCUGAUUUACUGUCAACAUGAUUUUAAGAUGAUAUGUUGAUCAAGGCAUAGCAUCUUAAAAUCAUGUGCUUUUUUUGUAUCCAGGGAACUUAUAAUUUCUAUGAAUUAAAUCCAUUAACUUUCAAAAAAAAAAACUUAGGCAAAGUAAUUAGUCAGUUACAAAGAGAAAUAAGAAUAUGUGAAGGAUACUAUAGCCUAUUUAUGCCUUCUAAUUAUAUGCUUAUGGGGCUGAAAUGUGCUCCUGAGGUCACUUACCCGUACCCAAGUCCAUUUUUUGACUGAUGUUGUUGUUGUUGUUGAGCAGUCAAUGAUCUAAAAUAUCAGUUAUACUUUCAAAGGAUAAACAAUGAUUUUGCUAUGAAGGUUCAAGGAUAGAAAGUUAAUAGGACAAACGGAGUUUCAACUUAAUCUUCAAUUAAUCUUUUAGCUAAAAGUUCAAAAUUAAGUUUAGUUUAAUUGCAUUUGAGGAUAAGCAUGAUUAAAAACAUUGUUAUUAACUAUUUUCAUACAAGCAGACCUGACUGUGUUGAAUUAAUUUUCUAAAAAUGAAUGGUUUGGUCCAACUCCUAAAUGACAAUGACACAUGCCAAUUUUCAUAGCACCUUUCAUGUCAUUCUUUAAUUGAGAAGAAUGUAUAAAAUCUUUAAUUCACUUCUUUAAUAAAUAUAACUUUAAAAUAAGACAAUUCGAAUUCAACUUCUUUAAAUAAGAUAAUAUAUGUGCUGAUAAUUAUAUAAGAUGCUUGCCAACUCUUUCAUCAUAAUCCCAUUAUUAUUAAUAUAAUAAUAAUAAUAAUAGUAAUAAUAAUAAUAAACAAAAAACUUCCUUUAUUAUAAACCACAACAUUCUUUUUGGUAAACAUUUCUUUUUUAAACAAAGACUUAAAAACAAGGCAAUGUUGUUCGAUUGAAAACAAAACGUAUUGUUUGCAUCAUUGUAAUGAUUUAAUCCCCAUGGCACUAUAUUCUUUUUAUCUAGUUUAGGUGCCUAACUCUAUAGAUUAAACCUUAAAACUUAUUAUCCUUUUCCAUAACUUUCUAUUUAUCCAAACAAAAGUUCAAAAAAAAAGUAAAUAAGGAAAAAAUUUAGGGUAAAGGGCUUUGAAAUAAGAUUUCAAUUAAGGAAGGUAACGGGGUUUUGGGAAAGUUAGUUGAAAUUAAAUCCAUCAUUUUAGGGUAUUGAUGCAAAGAUAUGUACAACAUGAUUAUAAAUUAAUAAUAUUUAUUUUUAUUUUGUUUUAUUUUUUACUUUUUAUAUGCCAUAUGGCUUUAAUAUUUUUUGUACAUAAUAAAAUAGAUUAGAAUAUUUAUUUUUUGUAGUCAUGUCGUUUGUGUUUGAGAAGAGAAGCUAAAUGACGAAAAAGGCUAAUAGCUAUGUUUAAAUUUUAUAUGGAGAUUUGUCGUGCUAUUAGUUCAUUCUUGACUUUAUUGUCUGCAGCGUCGACUUUAUGUACUUAUAGGCCAAGAGUAAGAUCUUAUGCAUUAGAUUUUGAUGCAAAUCGAGAGUAUGAGAGGUAACUUGUGUAUGAUAAUGAUAUUUCAUGUGUUUCACAAAUUAGGAUGAAUAGAGAAGCUGUUUUUAAAUUAUGUGAAAUGUUAGAAAGUAUUGGAGAGUUGAAGUCAACAAAGAACAUGCUUGUAGAUGAGCAAAUAACAAUAUUCUUACAUAUUAUUGCUCAUCAUGUUAAGAAUCGAGUAAUUAAUUUAAAUUUUAAAAGGUCAAGUGAGACAAUUAGUCGGUACUUUCAUAAUUUUCUAAAUACCGUGUUGAAAUUGAAAGAACAUUUGUUUAGAAAACCUAAGCCCAUUCCAACAAACUCAAUAGACAAUCGGUGGAAGUGGUUUAAGGUAGAUUAUAGAUCUUAUUACCUUUGUAACUAUAUAUACAAGACAUUAAUAGGUUUACUUAUAAGUAAUUCAUUACAUUGGAUUUGUAGAAUUGUUUAGGUGCUCUAGAUGGGACAUACAUCAGGGUUAAGGUGCCAAAUACAGAUACACCUAGAUAUCGCACUCGUAAAGGGGAUAUUGCAACAAAUAUGUUAGGUGCAUGUAUACCUGACAUGCAAUUUGUCUUUGUUUUUUCUGGUUGGAAAGUGUUUGUAGCUGAUGGUAGAGUUUUUUUAGAUGCACUAAGGAGAAGAAAUGGAUUUAAAGUGCCUUAUGGUAAGCUUUCUUAUGAUAAUAGAAAGGUAUUUCAAAUUAUGUACUAUAUUAUUAUUCUAAUUAAAAAAAUAAAUAACUUAUUUAGUUUGUUUUAUAUUGGUUGUUACUAUGUAGUUGAUGCAAGCUAUACAAAUUGUGAGGGCUUUCUUGCACCUUUUAGGAGUCAACGAUAUCAUUUGAAUAAAUGGCAUCAAGGCCAUAAACCAAGCAAUCUUGAAGAAUUUUUCAAUAUGAAACAAGCAACUACUUGUAAUGUUAUAGAGAGGUGUUUUGGGUUGUUGAAAAUGAGGUGGGGUAUCCUUAGGAGUCCAUCAUUUUAUCCGAUUAGGAUACAUAAUUGGAUUAUUAUAACCUAUUGUUUACUUCAUAAUUUUAUUAGGAGAGAGAUGAGAUUUGAUCUUAUUGAAGUGGAUUUAGAGGAAUGUAUUGAAACCAAUACAACAGUUAAGGAGGCUUUUAUAAAUACUAUUAAUCCUACUAAUAUUUGGGGUAAUUUGAGAAUGGAAUUAGCAAAUCAAAUGUUUAAUGAAUGGCAAGUAUCUAUGCAAAAUGAUGAUUGACAUUUGUUAGGCAUAUUGUUAUUUGAAGGACUAUUUUAGUGUUUCCUUCCUUUGUCAGUACAAGUUGUGCUUUUUUCUAAUUUGUUAUUAGUGUCUUAAUGUUUUGUCAAUUGUUAUUGUUAAUUGUUGUUUAUAUUGUACUUUUUAUCAUGUGAAUAAAGUUAGACAAGUUUUAAUAUAUUAUUGAAUAUAUCUCUUUAUCCUUUAUUUUUUUAGCAUUAUAAUUAAUUUUUUAUAAUAAAAUAUUUGAUGUAUGGUAGAAAACAAUAUCUGCAUCCUCAACCCUAGCUUCUCAAAGUUCAAAGGGAACCAAAAGGAAAUGGAAUUAUCAUAAAGAUGUUGCACUUAUUUCAGCUUUGACUGAUUUGCAUAAUAUAGGAUAAUAUAAUAAUGACACUGGUUUUAGAGGGGGUUAUUUAAUAGAACUUGAAAAUAUGUUUGCAACAAAAUUGCCAAAUGCAAACUUGAAGGCGAAGCCCCAUAUAGAGUUUAGAAUAAAGACUUUGAAAAUAGAAUGGGCUAUUGUAUAUGAUAUGGUGCAUGGGACACAUACUAGUGGAUUUGGUGUAGACACCCAUUCAAAAUCAACCAAAAUAAAAAUAAAAAAGGAAAGAAAAGAAAACAGGGAGAAGAUUGAGCGUGUACUCAGCCCCCCAUCUCCGGUCUUUCAUUACGGGGCACUUAAGUCCCCUGAAAAGUAGCCAGAUCUUGGGGAAUAGUUACAUUCGGCAAUUAGCCCCCAUUCAUGCCAGAGUCUUGUGAAAUCAUGCUCAGAAGAGCAUGAUUUCAUCGCUGGAUUGUCGAAAUCUUUGGCCAAUCCAGCUUUUAAAUGGGGGGCCUCGGAUAGAUUUUAAAGGGGGGGAAUCCACAACAGAAAAAAAAAACAUUUUCAAAAAGAAAAAAAUCCAUUCUCUUCAAACAACAUUAACUUGCAAAUAAAAAACCUAAGUUCUAGCAACCAAAUACCCUAACCAUAAAAAUCACAAAAAAAAAGGAAAAGCCAAAGAAGGGAAAGAUCUUAUGCGAUUUGGUGGGCGAAUUGAGAGGGGGCGAUUUCUGGGUAUUCGUCAACUUGGAGAGAUCUAGAAAGCCUUUGGGAAGCCGGCGGCAAAGAGAGAAGAGCCCAAUUUGGGCAACAAGAGAGAGAGAGAGAGACCGGUGGGCAGCUAGAGAGAGAGGAAGCCGUCGGCGUAAGGGAGAGAAGAAGGAGAAAAGAAGGGCGAAAAUAGUGCCGCGCACCAGAUCCGGGGACGAUGGGGAUCUGGCCAGCAAAAGGAUCGGUUGUAGAGAGAAGAGAGAGCAUUUGGGGGUUAGAGAGAGAAAAUGGGAGAAAAAAAUAAGGAAAAAGAAAAAUAAUAAGUUUUUAUUCCAGACAGAAGAGAGCAAAACGACACCGUUUGAGUGGAGUGGGGGAAUUGAAAGGGUCAAGGCCUAAACGGUGCCAUUUCGAGGGGCUCUACAAGCACCAAAUGGUGCCUUUUGAAGAGCAAUAUUGCAGGCUUGUUGAGCAGAUUUCGCAGUGCAGUUUUGGCCCUUUUGUGGGUCAUUGAUCUGGGCUAAUCUGAGCUUGAAAAGGUAUAAAUUCUCUCUAGAUUUGAGCUUGUUUUAAUUGAUUUUGAAUCUAGCCCAUUUUAUUCAAAUUAAAUGUAUUUUUAGCUUAAUUUUAAAACCAACGAUAAAUAAAAAAAAUAACAACAAUAGAUGAUGUAAAUAUAAUUAGUAUAAAAAAUAAAAUAAAAUAAAAUAGUUAUUUUAAGUGAUUCGAUGAUAAAAUUUCACUUAAAAAGGGGCAAAGGGUUGCCUAUUCAGGUGGGUUACUUAGGGGUGGAGUUUGAGACGAAUUUUCACCGAAGCGUCGGGAUAAAUCCGAACUCUAUGCUUCUACACUCAUUAAUUCAAAUAAUUGUUGUUAAAAUAAUAAUAAUAAUAAUAACAAAUAAUAAUAAUAAUAAAUAUUAAACAAGGUAAUAAAUCAUCCUACACUAUUAAACACAUUAUCACAUGAAUUUUAAUUAACUAAAUCAAUAAACGCGAUCAUAUAGGCAUUAUCAUCUUAUAUUGUCAUAGCAUGUCACAUUCUUCUUGUUAAUGGGGCGAUAAUCCUGAUGAUGGGAUUUCCCGAGGAACUCACAGAGACAAGUUCUUCUCAAGAUAUCCCUAGGUGAGGAAAACUUUGAGACUUCACCAAAGCGUUGGGAUAGUCUACGAAUGAUUUUUCGAUAAGCGAUUGUCGGCCUCAUUGUUUAAAAUUGAAUAAAUCACGACAUCAUUUUAUGAUUGCAUCACGUGCAUACGUAAAACCGAGUAAAAGACUCAAUCAACCAAAUAAUUAGUUAAUAAGCAAAGGCUAAGGAGACAUAGGAAUAAAAUCAAUGUAGGCCAUGAUAGGAUAAUUUAAGCUUAAAUGGUACCGUUCGUGGAACGGGCUCCAAGGAGGUGCUAACCCUUCUCCGUGCGUAACUGCACUCCCGAACCCAUCUCUAAAAAAUGUAGACCAAUUCUCGUUCUUUCGACGGACCUAAAAUUAAUUUAGGAUUUCGUCGAUUAGAAUCGAGUUAACAGGUGGCCAAUCACACCUAAAUAAAAAGAUUGGUGGUGACUCCUAGUUACUCGAUUUUCGCCUACGUCUAGCGGACGGGUUCUCGAACCUGCACGUUAUGACAGAUGGCGACUCCACUGGGGACAUCCGAGAGUCGAGCCAUAAUUAAUCAUAAGUUAUCUUAGGCCUUAAAUAAUUUAAUGUUUUCCUUAAUCUUGGGCGUUUGCUUUUACUAUUAUUUGUUGCAUUUACUAUUUUGAUUAUUGUUAUUGCCAUUUAAUAAUUGCGGGGAAUUUAGGAUAGAGGGAGUGUGAGAUUAUUAGUCCGAGGUCGGUAUAUUCCUUCUCACACACGACACGUCUUGCACUCAUGCAUAAGCCUUAUACCCGGGCUUUGUCCUUAAUUAGAAGGGGGUUAAGUAGUUAUGCUCUCGUGAGGUGAUAACCUCCGCAUGAGCUAGUGAAAACUCCCACUCAGAUCAAAACUAGUCCGUUUAAAGCCUGAAUGGGUGAGGACCGGGGUGCCUUGCUAGUCCAUGUGGACGACAGUAAGGAGUUAUUUGGGAACCUUUAGCUCCCUUUUCAACCCUAAUCCAGCAUAUAAAAUGCCCUGAGUAGCCUUUACCUAUGUAAAGCUUCACCCGUGAGAGAAUACCCUCUGAUUAGGUACACAUGAAGGAAUGAUCAUAUUUUCCCUUACCCUAAACUUUUCCCCUCAAAAUAAUGAAGGUAUCUCGCGUAUCCAUGUUAUUAAUUAAUUACUCUUGAUUUUUCUUGUAUAUACUAACUUAAACUUGUUGCCAUUUUUGCAUAUGCAUAUUUGCAUCAUACUUUUGCAUAUAGGAAAAGUAUUUGUCACUUGACAACUAUUGACGAAGUAGCUUCAAUUGCAUCCAUGAAGUCAUCAUGGCCACCUUCAAGCUACGACAAAAUAUAUGAAGUGACUCAGCACAUGGCGAAUGCCCAACAAAAUGAGGGGGAUUGCUUGGCAAAGAUCAUGUUUCACUGCUACCUGAUAGAGUCUACCUCGACCUAAAGCAGAAUGAUUUCACAUAUUUGCUUGAAAUAUGGGAAAGUUGGGGGGCUACGACUCGAGCAAAUUUCGAUAAGAGAUAUGGCCACAUAGCUUGGCUCCUUAAGGUCCAGAUUGAUGAACAGUUAUUGAAGGCCAUUGUGCAAUUUUGGGAUCUGUCAUAUAGGUGUUUUGUGUUCAAUGAGGUGGAUAUGGUCCCAACAAUCGAAGAGUACUCAGCUUUCCUUCAAAUUGAUCUUGACAAUCCGGAUAAAAUACAUUGGAGAGGACAAAAGACCAGACACAAGCUAAAGUUAGCUAAGAUGAUGGGUAUUACCUCGGGGGAAGUUGACCAAAACCUAAGGAAAAAAGGGGACAAUGAAUGUAUCCCAUGGAGUUUUCAACGUAGCUAUAUCAUGAAGCAUCGGGACACCUAGCAAGGACAGCUUGCGAUGGCCUUAGGAAUUUAUGGGCUAGUGAUUUUCUUCAAAGUUUUUGGGCAUAUAGAGGUCGAAAUUAUAGAUUUCUUCAAGCAAGUUAUCAACAAAGCCAACCCUUCACCUUCUAUUCUAGCAGAAACUCUCAGAUCACUAAACUAUUAUCGGAGAAAGGGGGAAGGACGAUUUGUGGGAUGCGCACAACUUCUUUCCAUUUGGAUAGUGAGUCACUUUGAGUGCAAGGUCGAGAGGUUCAAGAAGCCAUUUCAUCCGCAAAGCGCCCCUAUCAAAAAAUUUUGUGAGAAUGAGUGGCUAGAAAAUAGGACUAAGAAGCAAUGGAUCUCUAAGUUUCGAAAACUCAUGAGCAUGGAAGUAACGUGGAGAGCUCUGUGGAUGCCUCGUUGCCCGGUCUUGUACAAAUGCGGAGAUGAACCUUGGGUGCCGGUAAUGGGGCCAUGGGGAGCAAUCAGCUACGCCCUAAUCAUGGUGAGAAGACAGCUUGGGUCAGAGUAGUUUGUGCCAAUGACACACUGACUCAACACUUUGGAGUUUACCUAUGGAGAUCUAGGUUUUCUGAAAAGGAUUGAGGGGAUUACGCAAGCUUGGAAGAAAACCAGUCGAGUCGACCAAGGGACGUACACUGAUGAAAUAACCAUUAGAUAUCAGGUAUUGAAUGCUUGACGAGUUAAGGAUGUGGUAUAUCGAAAAGAAGAUGCACCUCGUGGCCCAAUCGAUCCAAAACCUUGAGAUGUUUUGCUUGAAAGUGAGUUGGCUCAAAAAAAGUCUGAAGUUGAAAAAGCUAACUGGAAACAAUGAUACGAAGAUCUCUAAAAAAAGUGUGAGAAGAUGAAUAUGAAAGCGAUCGAACAAAGAAAGAAAAUCCAAAAAUAAAACGUGAUUGGGAAAAGAAGUAUGAGAGCCUGAAUAACGAGUUUUCUGCCACAAGCAAUGAACUUUGAAGGGAAUAAAAGUGAAAGAAAGUUGAGGCAAUGAGCUUCAAGCGUACAAUGAUGGAUUAAGAAACCAAGUGCGGUUUCAGCAAGAAUCCAUUCAAUUGCUAUGACAAGAGUACAAAGAGCUUAACGGGGUUAUGGGAACUUAUCAACGAGAGUAUGAUCACCUCAAGCAAGAAAACACCUGGAUUCGAGAGUGGGGUGAAUCCUACAAACAAGCUUACGUGGAGAAACAUGACUAGAUGGAUUACUUGCUUAGGCAAAUGAGGGAGGUGGCUUACAAGGCAAGAAGCAUGGCUAGGAAGACAAACUUAUUAAGGAGCUGGGUCUUUCCGAUUGGGAAACAAGAGCAACAGUUGAUUAAACAUCUCGAUGAAGUGUAUAACCAUUACGAUAAAAUUGGAGAAUAUUUCUAAAUAUAAAAGAUGAUUCUUGAAUUGUAACCAUAGAUAAUAUCUUAUGCAAUGGAUUACUUUGUUGAUGGGUGUUAAGUGACAAGUACUUUUAGUACAUGAUCAUUCAUUUAUACAUGCAUAAACCCCAUUUCAUGAUAAUAAGUGUUUUCGCAUAUAAAUAAAGAUAAUGGGUGCAUUUUUUUCAUCUCAUUUAUGCACCAAAAAUGCAUCUAAUUCAUAUUUAUGAUUUAAAAAUAAGGAUUCCAAGAUAGACCAACGUCCUAAAAUCAGUGACCAACGUGUUCAUAAUACUCGUCGAUGAGUAAGAAUCAUGGAAGAAGAACAAAGGGAGCGAAUGGAUAGAAUGAAAAAAGCUUAAGAAGAAAUGAGAGAGCAGUUAGCAAAGAUGAUGGAAUUGAUGGUGUGCUUGAGUAAAGGAAAAAGAGUAGUAGAAAAGUCAGCUCGCCAGAAAACCCACCGGCACAAGACAUUGGAAACUUAAGGGAUGAUCCACCUUAUCCCCCGGGGUUCACUCCACCCCACACCUAGACUUUUUCAAGGGUCCACCCUCAAGCGACGUCAUUUGGUUAUUACAAUAUGCUACCCUCGAUGAGCCAUCAACCAACUCAUGGGCAAUUUGGAUUGAAUUCUGGGACAAAUCCUGCUGAACCAAUACACGUCCCAGAUUUAGAUGAUCUAAAAGAGUAAGAGAAAUUAAGAAAGGAUUCGUCACAAGUAGGAGAAAAAGAGAAAGUCCAAAAAAAGUAUGAUCUAUUAGAAGAGCACUUUCGCGCUAUGGAAAGAGUGGAUAGGUUCAGAACCAUGGAUGCAAUUAAGUUAUGCUUAGUUCCCGAUGUGGUAAUCCCUCCCAAAUUUAAGGCGCCAGAGUUUGAAAAAUAUGAUGGGACAAAAUGCCCAAUGGCGCAUAUUACCAUGUAAUACUGGAAGAUGACUGCACACUCACAUGAUGAUAAGUUGUUAAUUCAAUUAUUUCAAGAUAGCCUAACUAGAUCGGCAACCAGAUGGUAUGUGCAACUUGAUCGAAGUCACAUCAAAACUUGGAAAGAUUUGGCUAAAGCCUUUAUGGCACAAUACAAACAUGUUGCUGAAUUAGCCCCUGAUCGUUUAUCACUUCAGACCAUGGAAAAGAAAGUUGGUGAGAGUUUCAAGGAAUAUGCCCAGAGAUCGAGAGAUAUAACAGCACAAGUCCAACCACCCUUAACCGAUAAGGAGAUGACUGUAUUGUUUUUAAAUAUGCUCAAGGCACUUUUCUAUGAACGGUUGAUUGGCAACGCCACCAAAUAUUUUGCAAAUCUAGUCCUUUCAGGGGAAAUAAUUGAAGGGGUAAUCAAGAAUGGAAAAAUCGGAGGGAACGAAACUGCUAGCUCCAAGAGUGGGAUCGCGUUCAAGAAAAAAAAAGCGGAUGUACAAGCAGUCACUUAUACUGGCCCACAAACCCAUAAUUUCAACGCUUACCAUCCAUAUCCUCCAUAUCCACCUUUCUAUCCAAAUAUAGGCAACGUUGCCCAGAAUCCCUAUGUCUAUCAACUUGCCCCACAACCAGUUUUUCAAAACAAUGCCCUCCAGCAAUACACUAGCACCAAAACCCACAAUCUUCAACCGACAACUCUAGUAACACUCAAAAGGGAUUCAAAACCACCCAAGGAAAAACCCAGUUUGAUCCCAUCCCAAUUUCUUACACUACUCUAGUACCACAAUUGAUUGAAAAUCGACUCCUUGCCCGCACCCCUAUAGAACCACUUAAACCUCUUUUUUCAAAGUGGUACGACUAGAAUUCAUAAUGUGAUUAUCAUUUUGGGGUACAAGGGCACUCUACAGAAAAUUACACUAGCUUAAAACAUAAAGUCCAGGCACUCAUUAGGAUAGGACUUUUAAAUUUUGCUAAAAAAGACAGUUCAAAUGUCGACGAGAAUUCCUUGCCAAACCAUGGAAGGGCGACAGUGAACGCCAUACAUGAAGAGAUGACUCAAAGGGUGAAAAGAAGUGUCGAUGAGAUUCAAAUGCCAAUGGAUAGAGUGUUUGAAGCAUUGUUCAAAAUAAAUGUCAUCACUCCAGAAUUAGUAGACACAAAGGAAUUGGGGCAUGAUCUCACUCAUUCUUGUAAAUUUCAUAUGGGGGUCAUUGGACAUUUCGUUCAAAAUUACGAUGACUUUCGUCGUAAGUUGCAAGAGUUGAUGGAUUUGUCAGUAAUCGAGUUUUAUGUAGAAGGCAAAGAGGAUUUGGUUGGAACCAUAAAUGAGAAGCCCCUAACUGAAAUGGCAUCAAAUUCAUCCGGCUUGGACAAACCUAAACCUUUCACCAUCCUUUAUGAAGAAAACAGGAGUCCGAUGAAUGAUACAUCCACUACUGUUGUAAAAAAUGGUAUCACUAUUGAAAUUCCCAGCCCGUUCCCGUACAAGAGUGAAAAGGCUGUUCCAUGGAAUUACGAAUGUAACAUUUUAGGUACGGUCCCCCUUACUUCUCAAGUAUCUUCUGCAGAUCUAACCGAAGUGGGAGGUAUAACGUGAAGUGGGCAAUGUUAUUCUCUUGAGAUAACAAAAAGGGUUGAAAAAGGAAAGUCCAAACAGGGAGAAGAUCCGAAAGAAGUAAGUACCUUUCUCAAGGACCAAACCACCGAACCUGCAGUUACUCCGAACAAUGACGUUAAAAGGCUUUUCAAGGAGAAAGAAGCGGGCAAAUUUCUCAAAUUUAUUAAGCACAGUGAAUAUAGUGUAGUGGAGCAAUUGAAAAGAAUGCCCGCUCGCAUUUCGUUGUUAUCUUUACUCUUGAAUUCGGAAGCACACAGGAAUGUGCUACUCAAAGUCUUGAAUCAAGUUUACGUGGCUCAUGACAUAUCGGUGGAAAAGUUAGACCAUAUAGUGGGAAACAUCACAGUGGGGAACUUCAUUGCCUUUAAUGAUGAAGAAAUUUCAUCAGGAGACCAAGGGAAUAACAAGGCUCUCCACAUAACCAUUAGAUGCAAGGACCAUGCCAUACCAAGAGUAUUGAUUGACAAUGGUUUGGCAUUGAAUGUCAUGCCUCGUUCAGCAUUAACAAGGUUGCCGAUCGAUAUGACUCAUAUGAGGGCCAGUCACAUGAUAGUGAGAGCAUUUGAUGGAAGUAAAAGCGAAGUGAUAGGUGAUAUAGAAAUACUAGUGAAGAUCGGUCCCUACAUGUUUGAUGUCCAAUUUCAAGUGAUGGACAUAUUUUCAUCUUAUAAUUGUCUAUUAGGAUGCUUGUGGAUUCAUAUGGCGGGAGCUGUACCUUCUUCUCUGCAUCAAAAGGUAAAAUUCAUAAUUGAAGGCCAAUUGAUAAGCAUUUCUGCAGAAGAAGAUAUCUUAGCCAUCUAAUCCUUAUCUACUCUCUAUGUAAAAGCGGCGAAAGAAGUCCCUGAAUGCUCAUUCAGAUCUUUUGAAUUUGUUAAUGCUACUUAUGUGGGAGAAGGGGUAGUGAUACCAACUCCUCGCUUGUCGGCAGCAACUAAAAUGGAGGUUAAACAGACAGUGGGAAGAGGAUGCCGUGCUGGUCUGGGGUUAAGAAAGAAUUUAUAAGAAAUUAAUCGUCCUUUGACUUCGAUCAAGAAUGAGGAAAGGUUUGGUUUGGGGUACAAAGCUACCAAAGAAGAGAGGAAAAAAUUGGUAGCCCAAAAGAAAAUUAAGAGGAUGGUUUAGUUCGAAGGAAAGGAAAAAGAAUUGGAGAAAAGGACAAUUUCGUACCUGUAUGAGACUUUUCGCUUCGCAGGUUACAUUCACCCCAAAGCAUCGACAAAGGGCAAUCCGGUUCUGCAGAUAUUUGAUGAGCUAUCAAUCCAUAUGAUCAAAGAUGAAGAACUUAACGAGAAGGUCCCUGUGGUGUAUCCAGUACUGCUUGGAGAGAAACUAAUCAAUUGGAUAGCCACAGAGUUGCCUGUCAUCUUUAAGUCUUUGGAAACAAUUUUACCUCAAUGCCUAUGCCCAAGGGUAUUAAGAGUAAUUUCUUGUUUAAGUAGGGCUUUCUAUUACCUUAAUCAUUUAAAUAAAUGAUAAAGCAUGAUGUGUUUCAUAAUUCAUCAACCUUUUCGCAUAUUUCCUUUCAUUUAUUCUUUCAGCCAGUAAAUACUUGCCUAUACACGUGUCCAAUUUUACCUAUUUGCAGGUCUUUAAAUAAUGAACACAAAGACAAACAAGAGAACAAUUUGAAUUUUGACUUCAAGAAAGUUUCGAAUGUUGAUGAAUUGAAAAAUGAAGAGGAAAUGGAUGACUAUGACUUACCCCCUGAUUUGUCGAGAUUGUUGGAAUAGGAAAAAAUGGAGAUUUUACCUCAUCAGGAACUCACAGAAAUGAUUAACCUGGGAAAUGGGGAAGAGAGGAAAAAGGUUAAGAUUGGUACCUCGCUAUCAUCUGGUGAACGACAGAAGUUAGAAGAAUUGCUUCAUGAGUAUGUGGAUGUGUUUGCUUGGUCAUAUCAGGACAUGUCAGGUCUUAAUACUGACAUUAUUGUACACAAGUUACUUUUGAGACCGGAUUGCAAGCCGAUUAAGUAGAAAUUAAGAAGGAUGAAACCAGAUAUGUUGUUGAAGAUUAAAGAAGAAGUAAAAAAACAAUUUGAUGCUAGGUUCUUGGAGGUGGCUAAGUAUCCUAAAUGGGUAGCUAAUAUAGUCUCAGUUCCUAAGAAGGGUGAAAAGUUUGAAUGUGUGUUGAUUACAGGGACUUAAACAGAGCGAGUCCGAAGCAUAGCUUUCCUUUGUCACAUAUCGAUACUCUUGUAGACAAUACAGCAAAACAUGCUUUAUUCUCAUUUAUGGAUGAUUUUUCUAGAUACAAUCAGAUUAAGAUGGCACCCGAAGACAUGGAAAAAACAAUGCUCGUAACCAUGUGGGGAACGUUUUGUUACAAAGUAAUGCCAUUUGGAUUGAAGAAUGUGGGUGCCACCUACCAAAGGGCAAUGGUAACUUUGUUCCAUGAUAUGAUGCAUAAGGAGAUAGAGGUGUAUGUGGAUGACAUGAUUGGAAAAUCUCGUACGGAAAGAGAUCAUACUGUAAAUCUUAAGAAAUUGUUCAAGAGAUUGAGAAAAUUUCGGCUUAAGUUGAAUCUUGCAAAAUGUACUUUUGGUGUUACUUCUGGGAAAUUGUUGGGAUUUGUAGUAAGUGAAAAAGGAAUUGAAGUGGACUCAAAUAAAAUACGAUCUAUUCAAGAGUUGCCAACUCCCAAAACACAAAAAGAAGUGAGAGGAUUUUUAGGUAGGUUGAACUACAUUGCUCGAUUUAUAUCCCAACUCACCCUCAAAUGUGAUCCAAUCUUCAAGCUGCUUCAAAAACGAGACCUCAAAGAGUGGAAUGAAGAAUGUCAGCUAGCCUUUGAUAAAAUCAAAGUAUAUCUUACAAAUCCACUGGUGUUGGUACCAUCAACGACAGGAAAACCUCUUAUUUUGUAUCUGACAGUGAACAAGAAUUCCAUGGAAUGUGUACUAGGGCAACACGAUGAAACUGGAAAGAAAGAACAGGCCAUAUACUACCUAAGCAAGAAAUUCACGGAAUAUGAGUCCAAAUAAUCUGUGCUCGAAAAAAUGUGUUGUGCGCUAGCAUGGACCAUCUAAAGGCUCCGGCAAUAUAAGUUGUAUCAUACAACAUGGUUGGUGGCAAAAUUGGAUCCCAUCAAGUAUAUUUUUGAAAAACCUUUCCUUUCUGGAAGAAUUGCAUGAUGGCAAGUUUUACUAUCUGAAUAUGAUAUUGUGUAUGUGUCCCAAAAGUUAAUCAAAGGGAGUGUCAUUGCUGAUUUCCUUGCAGAUCGAGCUGCUGAAGAUUAUGAACCUGUAAGUUUCGAUUUUCCAAAUGAAGAUUUGAUGGCCAUCUUGCACAUAGAAAAAGAUGGUCCCAACGAACUUAAUUUCUGGAAAAUGUAUUUUGAUGGGGCGUCUAAUUCUUUGGGGCACGGAAUUAGAGCAGUGUUGAUUUCUUCAAAUGGAAAGUAAUAUCUAGCUACGACAAGGUUGAAUUUCAACUGUACUAAUAAUAUGGCAAAGUAUGAGGCGUUGGUGAUGGGUCUACAAGCAGCAAUUGACAUGAAGGCCGACACGAUAGAAGUUUACGGAGAUUCAGCUUUAGUGAUAUGCCAAUUGAAAGGUGAAUGGGAAACUAAAGAUUCUAAACUGGUUCCAUACCAAAAGCUAGUUGUAGAAUUAAGUAAACAAUUCAAGAAAAUUAGCUUCAAUCAUUUGCCUUGAGAAGAAAACCAGAUUGCCGAUGCUUUAGCCACUUUAGUAGUAAUGUUCAAAAUAAAUAACGGGGUUGACAUCCAUCCUUUGAAUUUGGAAAUUCGGGGGGUCUCUGCACAUUGUAUGAAUGUUGAAGAAGAACCUGACGGCAAACCAUGGUACUAUAAUAUCAUGCAAUACAUUAAGCAUCAGGUGUAUCCUAAGAAUGCCACAGAGAAUGACAAAAGAUUAUUCAGAAGGUUAACAAUGGGUUUUUUCCUCAAUGGGAAAAUACUCUACAAAAGAAACCGGGACCAAAUUCUCCUCAGAUGUGUGGAUGCAGCCGAAGCUAAUAAGAUAUUGAAGAAGUCCAUGAGGGAUCAUGUGGAGCUCAUGCUAGUGGACAUAUGUUAGCCAGACAAAUUAUAAAGGUUGGAUACUAUUGGUUGACACUGGAAGUAAAUUGUAUAAAUUUUGCUAGAAAGUGCCACAAAUGCCAAAUUUAUGCUGAUAAAAUCCACGCUCCACCAUCUCCAUUACAUGUCUUCACGGCGCCUUGGCCUUUUUCAAUAUGGGGGAUGGAUGUGAUUGGGCUCAUUACUCCAAAAGCUUUUAAUGGACAUCGAUUUAUAUUGGUGGCCAUUGAUUACUUCACAAAAUAGGUAGAAGCAGCUUCCUAUGCUAAUGUGAUGCAAAAAGUGGUGUGCAAGUUCAUCAAAAAGAAGAUAAUAUGUCGGUAUGGGCUUCCAAAAAGGAUCAUUAUUGAUAAUGCAAGCAAUUUGAAUGGUAUAAUGGUAAGGGAGGUUUGUGCUAAAUUCAAGAUCAAGCAUCACAACUCAACAACUUACUGUCCCAAGAUGAAUGGAACGGUAGAGGAGGCCAAUAAGAACAUCAAGAGGAUUAUUGAAAAAAUGACUAAAGUUUAUAAAUAUUGGCAUGAGAAAGUUCCUUUUGCUUUGCACGCAUAUCAAACUUCUAUGCGUACCUCCAUAAGAGCAACUCCAUACUCAUUAGUAUAUGGUAUAGAAGCAGUUCUACCUGUUGAAGUAUGAAUCCCAUUAUUGAGGGUGUUAAUGGAGACAAAGUUGGAAGAAGCUGAAUAGAUCCGCUGUCGCCAAGAGUAGCUGAAUCUAAUUGAAGAAAAAAGACUUGCCACCCUAUGUCAUGGUCAAAUGUAUCAACGACGGAUGAUACGGGCAUAUGAGAAAAAAGUUCAUCCUAGGCAGUUUUGAGAAUAAGAGUUGCUCAAGGCAUCAAUCAAGGACAAUUCUUGAAAUCGAAAAUCAGAUUGUUUUCUCUGAAUGGUCCGAGUGUUCAUUACUUAAAAAGAUCUAAUGUUUGCUCUGUAAAUUCUCUAUUCCUUGAAUUAUUUAAACUCUCAUAUAUGAAACUCUCCUUGUCUUCUUUAUUUCAACCUUCUUGUUCUUUACCAUCCCAUGAUUUCACAUGAUGAUUCUCAUAGAAAUGAAUGAUGAUUGGUAAAAGAAGGAAACUAAUUAAGCAAGAAAUUACACUCAUUGUUCAGCAAAAGACUUAAUGAUGAGGAAAAGGAAUGGCAGAGCUUUAAACUUGAGCAAAAAGUCAAAUGUCAAAAAGAAAGGGUGCUUAGGGAAAAUCCGGAGUUACCUAAAGUAACCAAAAGGAAAGUAAACAGGCAAAGAUGAUCGAAAGCUGUAGUGAAAAAUUGGAUGAAGUAGGAGAAGGGUCUUAAAACCUUAAUGAAUCAUAAACAUGAAAGCAUUCUAUUAUUUCAGUCAUGCAUACAUGCCUAACCAUGCACAUGGUCAUUUUCAAAACAAGAAACCAAAAUUAAUUCAACGUCCCAAGCUCCGAAAGUAGGAAUCCACCUGAUCUAAAAUGUUGAGGUCAUAAAACUUUGAUAGAAGGAUUUGAAUUUUUCAUUGUGAAGUUAAUCAAAUUAAGUUGAACCUGUUUUAAGAUAGGUCAAACCUAAAUAAAGUUUAGGAAUUUCAAUAUUUGAAUCAAACCUGUUUUGAGAUAGGUCGAGCCUAGAUUAAGUCUAGGAAUUUCAAUUUUUGAUUCGAACCUGUUUUAAGAUAGGUCGAGCCUAGAUCAAGUUUAGAAAUGUUAAUUUUUAAAUCGAACUUGUUUUAAGAUAGGUCGAGCCUAGAUCAAGUCUAAGAAUUUCAAUUUUUGAAUCGAACCUGUUUUAAGAUAGGUCGAGCCUAGAUCAAGUCUAGGAAUGUUAAUUUUUUAAAUCGAACUUGUUUUAAGAUAGGUCGAGCCUAGAUCAAGUCUAAAAAUUUUAAUUUUUGAAUCGAACCUGUUUUAAAAUAGGUCUAGCCUAGUUCAAGUUUAGGAAUGUCAAUUUUUUAAAUCGAACCUGUUUUAAGAUAGGUCGAGCCUAGAUCAAUCUAGGAAUUUCAAUAUUUAAAUCGAACUUGUCGCGAGAUAGGUCGUACUUAGAAAUUUCAUUUUUUUAGAACCCAGGUCAAGCCUAGGGAUUUCAUUUUCAAACGUGUUUCAAAAUAGGUCAAGCCUAGAUUGAAUUGCUCAAAUCAAACUUGCCUCAAGAUAAGUUGAAUGGGUGUCUACGUCUUUGCACUAUUCUUGAUUCUCAAGAAUGUGCAAAGAGGGGCAACUGUAGACAUCCAUUCAAAAUCAACCAAAAUAAAAAUAAAAAUAAAAAAGGAAAGAAAAGAAAACAGGGAGAAGACUGAGCGUGUACUCAGCCUCCCCUCUCCGGUCCUUCAUUACAGGGCACUUAAGUCCCUUGGAAAGUAGUCGGAUCUUGGGGAACAGUUACCUCCGGCAAUUAGCCCCCAUUCAUGCCAGAGUCUUUUGAAAUCAUGCUCAGAAAAGCAUGAUUUCAUCGCUGGAUUGUCAAAAUUUUUGGACAAUCCAACUCUUAAAUGGGGGGCCUCGAACAGAUUUAAAAGGGGGGGAAUCCACAAUAAAAAAAAACAUUUUCAAAAAGAAAAAAUCCAUCCUCUUCAAACAACAACAACCUGCAAAUAAAAAACCUAAGUUCUAGCAACCAAAUACCCUAACAACAAAAUCACAAAAAAAGAAAAAGAAAAAGGAAAAGCCAAAGAAGGGAGAGAUCUAGUGCGAUUUGGUGGGCGAAAGGAGAUAGGGCGAUUUCUGGGUUGUCGCCGGCUUGGAGAGAUCUAGAAAGCCUUUGGGCAGCCAGCAGUAAAGAAAGAAAAGCCUGAUUUGGGCAACGAGAGAGAGAGAAAGACCGGUGGGCAGUUAGAGAAAGAGGAAGCCGCCAGCGUAAGGGAGAGAAGAAGGAGAAAAGAAGGGCGAAACUAGUGUCGCGGCACUAGAUCCGACCAUGGUGGGGAUCUGACUGGCGAAAGGAUCGGUUGUAGAGAGAAGAGAGAGCAUUUGGGGGUUAGAAAGAGAAAAUGAGAGAAAAAAAUAAGGAAGAAGAAAAAUAAUAAGCUUUUAUUCCAAACAGAAGAGAGCGAAAUGACACCGUUUGAGUGGAGUGAGGGAAUUGAAAGGGUGAAGGCCUAAACAGUGCCGUUUCGAGGGGCUCUACAAGCACCAAAUGGUGCGUUUUGAAGAGCAAUAUUGCGGGCUUGUUGAGCGGAUUUCGCGGUGCAAUUUUUGGACUUCUGUCGGUCAUUGAUCUGGGCUAAUCUGAGCCCGAAAAGGUAUAAUUCUCCCUAGAUUUGAGCUUGUUUUAAUUGAUUUUGAAUCUAGCCCAUUUUACUCAAAUUAAAUGUAUUUUUAGCUUAAUUUUAAAACCAAUGAUAAAUAAAAAAAUAACAACAAUACAUGAUGUAAAUAUAAUUAGUAUAAAAAAAUAAAAUAAAAUAAAAAUAGUUAUUUUAACUGAUUCGAUGAUAAAAUUUCACCUAAAAAGGGGCAAAGAGUUGCCUCUUUCAGAUGGGUUACUUAAGGGUAGAGUUCGAGACGGAUUUUCAUUGAAGCGUCGGGAUAAAUCUAAACUCUAUGCUUCUGCACUCAUUAAUUCAAAUAAUUGUUGUUAAAAAAAUAAUAAUAAUAAUAACAAAAAAUAAUAAUAAUAAAUAUGUAAACAAGGUAAUAAAUCAGCCUACACUAUUAAACACAUUAUCACAUGAAUUUUAAUUAACUAAAUCAAUAAACGCAAUCAUAUAGGCAUUAUCAUCUUAUAUUGUCAUAGCACACCACAUUCUUCUUGUUAAUGGGGCGAGAAUCCUAAGGAUGGGAUUUCCCUGAGGAACUCGUAGAGACGAGUUCUUUUCGGGAUAUCCCUAGGUAAGGAAAAUGUCGAGACUUCACCAAAGCGUUGGAAUAGUCUACGAAUGAUUUUUCGAUAAGCGAUUGUCGACCUCAUUGUUUAAAAUUGAAUAAAUCAUGACAUCAUUUUAUGAUUGCAUCACAUGCAUACGUAAAAUCAAGUGAAAGACUCAAUCAACCAAAUAAUUAGUUAAUAAGCAAAGGCUAAUGAGACAUAGAAAUAAAAUCAAUGUAGGCCAUGAUAGGAUAAUUUAAGAUUAAAUGGUACUGUUCGUGGAACGGGCUCCACGAAGGUGCUAACCCUUCUCCGUACGUAACCGCACUCUCAAACACAUCUCUAAAAAACGUAGAUCAAUUCUCGUUCUUUCGACAGACCUAAAAUUAAUUUAGGAUUUCGUCGAUUAGAAUCAAGUUAACAGGUGGCCAAUCACACCUAAAUAAAAAGAUUGGUGGCGACUCCUAGUUACUCGAUUUUCGCCCGCAUCUAGCGAACGGGUUCUCGGACUUGCACGUUACGACAUUUGGGUGGGAUGAUUAAAGGAACAUGGUUGUUGCUGAUGAUCCUGUAUGGGAAUCUUACAUACAGGUAAGUUUUUGGUUUGAACUUAUUUAAGUAUUUUCAUGUUAGUUUCUUAAUAAUAAUAUACUAAUAGUCAUCUUUUUUUUUUUCGUUAUUAGAGUCACAAAGAGGUUGGCCUUUUUAGAAAAAAAGAGUUUUCCUUUCUUUAAUGAGCUUAGUCUUAUUUAUGCAAGAGAUCAUGCAACAGGAAAAGAUGCACAAACUGCAGUAGAUAUCCUCGAAGAAAUGUAGGAAUGUAAUGAUACAAUAAAUGAGGAAACUGAAGAUGAAAACCUAGCUAGAUAUAGUUUCGAUGAUGAGGAUUUCUCCAAUAGUCAACCUUAAACAUCAGCUCCUAGAAGUUAAACUACUUCAGCAAGGAAAAGGAAAAGGCCAAAUGAGAUGGGUGAUCCCAUUACAUCUGAAUCAAUUAUUACUGCUGCCACGAUAUUGGGUGAAAACAUAAAAAAGGCUGGAAUUGAGUUUAAUAAGAGUGUUGGGGAAGAGGUGAAAAUCCAACAAAGACUCAAGAGUUGGAUGGGAUUUUAAGUCAAGUAGAGGGAUUGACAGCAAGGGAAAGGGUUCUUGCUUCAAUUAAACUUCUUGAAUCUCCAACUCUUAUGUUUGUGUUUUUCAGUGUUGAUCCUGACUGAAGACUUGAAUGGCUGAAGACAUAUCUUGCUGACAGUUGAGCUUGGAUGGCUCUAAAACUUUUUGUGAAGGUAAGUUCCUGAUAUUGUAACUUUUUGGCACUUGUGGUUGAAAUUGAUGUUAAUUAUGAAGUUCAUUAACAAGUUUGAAUUCUUUUGAGUUGACUGUUGUUUUGCUGGUUCUAUAAUGGUGAUGUUAUUGUAGCUACUUUAUUAGUUUUAUGCAUGUUGUAAGUUAGUGUAAUAGGAUGAAUAUUCAUCCAUUACUUUCAAGGUCAGUGUAUUUUUGUAAACUAGACCUUGGCUUUUGAUUAUACGUAAUAAUAUUCCCAUUUAAAGGGCAUUUAUGGUGAGACAAGGCUCUUUCAAUAUCUAUUGCUUUUCAUGCUAAUAUGCAAUGGUUAUGCUUGUAAAUUGUCAUUUUGUUGCCAGAGAUGAAAUGCUUAUUUAAAUUGAAAGACACGUUAUUUCUCUCUUUGACAUUUAUGUUUCCUUAGCACCACAUGCUUGAUUCAAAGAAAUUAUUUUUUUCUUCUUUUUUUCUUUGAACGGUAAUAUGAUUUUCUAUUUAAUAUAUCAAAAAACAUAACUUACUUUUUUUUUUAGAAAAAAAUGGAAGACCAUAUUUCUAAUUUCAAAGAUAUGAUUUUCUAUUUAAUAUAUCAAAAAACAUGAUUUUCUAUUUCUACUUGUUUUUUCGUUUUCUUUCCCAAAUAUUUCUUCUCCAAUAUUUUGUCUAUGGAAUAUUUUGAAAAUGAUUCAUAAUAUGUGAAGAAUUGAUUAAAAAUAAACAUCUAUAUACAAAAUUUAAUUGAUUAUGAUGGAUAAAAUAUAAUGUAAUUAAAUUAUAUUUUGGAAUAAUUAUCUAUUUAUAAAUAUGUGAGUAAAUUAUAAUUAUUUUUAGCAUUUGGGAUAAAAUAUAAUUAUGAUGGAUAAUUGUCUUUUGGGAUAAAUAUGUAUUUAAAUUAUAAUAAGGAUAAUUUUAUUUUUUAUAAAAAUAAAUGUUAAUAUAAUUGAGGUUAUUUUUGUCUUUUUAUCACCUUCUCCUUUUUUAUUCUAAUUUUAUUUUUACCAACCAAACACUGCAAUAAAUCAUAAUAGCAAUUCCUACUUUAUUCCAUUCACAAUAUCAAACAAAGUAAUAACUAUUCUAUUCUAUUCUUACUUUAUUCUAUUUCCACAGAAUAACUAUUCUAUUAUAUUUAUAUUUAUUCCGCGAACUAAACGUGCUAUUAGAGAUUAAGUUAAGAGCUUGACAUGUGUGAGUUGGCAGCAAAAGAGGUUGUAUCAUAGGUUUGCCGGCUUCUCAUCUUUUGACAGGUGGAUUCUUAACCCGUGCGCAAUGCAUAGGUCGUAACUUUAGUACUUGUAAGAAUUCCCUUUAAAAAUCAUAUAGUGAAUAAUGAUAAUAAUAAUUAUGAGAUUAAUCCUUAAAAAAUGAGAUUAAUAAGUCUGUACAUUUAUUUGAUUAACAUACGACAAAUUUUAAAAUAAAUGAUCAAACAUAUCAUUUUUAAGGAUUUAUUAAACACAAACUAAGCUUACAUAUCGUUACUCAAUCCAUUCAAUUGACUUAUCUGGUCUAAUUUUAGAAUAGAACUCGGCAUGGAUGCAUUCGUUCAUUCAUUCCUUUUUUUUUUUUCAAAAUAAUUUGAGAAAAUUAUAAAUUGAAAAUAUUGUAUUAAAUUCUUUCUCACAAGUGAGGCUUUUUGGUCUAUGUAUGUAUUGAAGUCAUAGAACGUAGCAAACGUUUCCACUAGUAGCCAGCCGUCCAACCCUGAAGUGAACAGAACCGACCCCCGCCCCCUCACGGCUUAGUUAGCUCCAUCAGGGAAAUGAAAUGUGUAGGAAGUUUCUACAAUGCGGGUGGGAUCGAAAAGGGUGGCAACCCAGAAACAACCGCCCAGUAUUUUACUUUCUUUCCUGGAAUGGAUGGAGAUUUGUUGACUUGACCAAUAUAUAUGUCUAUUGUUCUAUCUAACUAAAACUCAAUGGCCCCUCUCCUAAGUCCAUUCUAUAUGACAAGUUGAUAAUAUUUAGAGUAAAUCAAAAUGUAAAAUAUGGCCAUUUCUAGUUCGUGAAAGGCCCGACCUCUAUCUUUUUCAUGGCAAAGGUUUUCCAAGCAUACAUUCUUUCCAAAUAUGUGACAAAGGUCUUCCCAUUGUUAACAAGAUGUGCACCACAAUUGCCACCUCCUUCACCACCAUCUGCAGCUGCUGUUGACCUUAAAUUGGCAGCCGUGCCGGCUGCAUUGACGGUGAAGGAUUCACAAAAUUACUUAGCAUGGGAAAAACUUAUAGUAGCUUUUUGUUUGGGAUCAUCUGUUGAAAUAGCUACCUUAUUUGCUCAAAUUGGUCCAGCUCGACUUCCCGUGACUUUCACCUUUCUUUCCCUUGCAAUUCUAUUGGCCUCCACUUGUCUUUGUGUUGGCAAAUAUUUUAGCAAUUCCAAGUUUCUUAUGAUGGCUCGAAUGUCGGAACAACUGGGUGGCUUUUUUGUGGUGACAGCCUUUUUCAUAGCUAUAGCAAUUCCGUUUCCUGUGUGGCUCCAAUGCUGAACGGGGGCUGUUUAUGGCAUCUCCUUUCUAUCUAUUCUAAUCUGCCAUCUCUUUUGACUCCGUUAAGCUUAGUACAUUAAUUAUGAGCUGAAACGUAUAUGUCGUCGUGUCAAUUGAUCGGUGAUUUCUUUGGACGGAAACCAUUAUUCGGUUGUAUAUAAGUUUCAACAAAGUCAUACAAAUGCAUUUUUGGUUUGGAAAGUAAUGGAGUUCCUAAUUUGGACUUUCACGUUAGAUGUAAGCCACCCUACGCGGCUGUUUAUAUUUUGUGCUAUUGUUUAUUAAUUUACAUAUAUUCUCAUUCAAAAUUUUGAGGUUCUUACGUUUAAUAAGACCUUCAAAUAUAUGUUUAUAUAUACAAUAAAAGAAGAUAUUGCUUCUAAAAGAUUCAAUGCCUUCUCCAUCAUAUUAGAGUCAGAACAUGUGGUUUUCCACAGCAAUUUUAUUUUAAUUUUGGACUUCCCACAAAUUAAGACCAGCAUGUGAUCGUUGUUUAAAGUUGGCAACUUCAAAUUGGUUUGUCAUGUGCCAGAUCAAGAGUGAGUAAAAGAAAAUAUUGACAUUUCCGUUUUGAAGAAAAAUAAGAGAAGAGGACAAAAUUGAGGAAGUAGCCAAUGGUUGGUUUGAAAAAGAUAAAAUUAGAAUGAGAUUGUAAUUAGAAACAUUUCUUACUCUCUCUCUCUCUCUCGUUAUGAUCAUUCAUAUUUAGGCGUAAGAAUAGAUGAAGAGUUGUCUGUUCUUUCAGGAUAUAAUUAAGUGAAUAUGGAAUCAAUAAACUUGUGUGCUUUAUAGUAAAACCUCGUGUUUUGACUAGCAUAAUUUGUAAUGGAUGACUCCAAAUUGUUAUUUGGUAUGAAGGGUUAGAAUUAGAGAAUUCCCUUGAAAGAAGCCGUCCAUCUCCUUUUUAAACAAAAAAUUACUCCCAUUUAAUUUUAACCAUUAAUUGCAUACGUAUAAUUAUUUGAAUAUAUUAAAAACCAAUGCCCUCUUGCCUCAUGGUCUCAAGUUCGAGUCUCCACAUAAUAUAUGUGGGACUUCAAAUACUAGAUAUAGUUUAAUAUAUCCAUACAGCUCCUUUAUUCUUAUUUGAAUUUAUAUAGAUGCAUAUUGUAUACAUGAAUAUGAGUGUAUUUAAAUUGACAUGUUAGGAGUGAAUUUGCCCAAUAAUCUGCAGCAAGAGAGUAAUACUAAAAUUCUAUUAUCGCUGAAAGAUGAUCCUAUACAUUGAUAAAUGACCAAGGUCACCAAUGUGAUAAUAAAUGAGGUGAUUCCAUCCUGGAAAACCCUAUUAUCCCAGGACUACAUAUGAAGCUAAACUGCAAUAUUUCCUUUAAAGGUUAAAAUAUCUUUUCACUUGAAUUUUCUUUUUUAAUUUAAGAGAAAAAGAUAUUAGAAUUCAACUCUUUAACUAUAUUCAUGCAUCUACCACUAAAUCAAAUGUUCGGAUAAAGUAUUCUUACUUGAACUUAAAAAUAAAGCUGGUUAGACCAUGUUUUUGACUACAUUCAUACUUCAAAUCAACUUUGGAUUAGAGGCAGAGCUGCUUGCACAAAGAUAUAUAAGUUGUCUGUCCCGAACAAUUUUAAACAGGUAAAAAUAACAGAACAUCGUGUGGUACAUGGUACAUACACAUUAUUUUUAUUUGGUACAGUACUUACACAUUAUACAUCACUCUAAUUCAUAACAACGGAAAAAAGAUAAAAACAAAAAUAAUAAAAUAGCACUUACCUCAGAUUGCACAUUGAUUGAAGCUGUUCUUUGACCUCAUUCUGUGGCCAAUGCAAUGCCUCCCACCAUUCUUGUUCUGCUUCAAUGGAUGUCAGAUAUGCUGCAUUGUCUUUGUCAAAUGGUAGUGAUUUCAAUUCAGGGCACAUGUAGACCUGAAGCUCUUUUAAGGAGGGCCAUGCCAAUGACUUAUCUACACAUAUAGUCCUUAGUUUUGGCAUCUCAAUCAGUAUCAAUGUCUCUAGAUUUGGAAAAGCAGGUGAAACUUGUCCAGCACUGUCAGGCUUCUCAACUAGCACUUCCAUUUUGGUGCAAUUUUGAAUUGCUAGUUUGCGGAGUACAGAGAGUUGUUGAAUCACCCUGAGAGAGAAAACUUUUGUCAACAUUGGGCAACUCAUCACCACCACUGUGUGUAAUUUAGAAAGACUUUUGGUUGACAAGGAGCCCUCAAAAAUGGCUUGCAGACUCCUCAAAUUUACCAAAUGCAAUUGCUCUAAAUUUGGUAGGAUGUCUCUACCUUCUGUCCUGUUGUUAUCUGUAAUAGUUGUCAUUUUGUUGCACCUUUCAAUUAGACAACCACGAAUCCUGUUAAAGCUAGCAACAUUCCCAAAAUCGGUCAGACUCAUUAUAUCUUUGUGUUCAACCAAUUCCAAUGCAUCAGUUUCAGCAACCAGAUCACAAAUUAUUGAGUCAUCACUGUAAUUGCCAUCGCAAUAUCCCAAAUACCGAUUGAUUUUGUACUUAAAACACUCAAGAAUUUGAGGACGUUUUCUGUUUUGGUAACCAACAAAGAAUUGAAAAGAAGUCAGUUGUUGGCGAUCUUUCCAAGAUGGACUGUGCUGCAUAAAAGUCUUGAGGACCUCUGAUUUAGGAAAGCAGAUUCUCAGAGUAGUUAAAUUCUCCAAGGUAGCCACCUGCCUCAUUACUUCUACGGCCUCAUUGCACCAACGAUCAUAAGAAGCCACAUCAAUGAUUAAUUCUUCCAGUCUGGCCAGCAAUGGAAUCACAUUGCAGUCAAUGUCCAUAUCUUGGCAGUCAUUUGGGUUGCUAGAUCUAUAGUAUGAGACUCGCAAACACCUUAAGUUAAUCAGUGUUUGAAUAUGAGAUGGAAUGAAGCUUAUCCUGCAGCCUCGAAUGUCAAGCACCUCGAGACAAUGAAGUUCUCCAAUUUCAGGAGGCAACUCUGUUAGAUUGAAGCAAUUAUUUAAGUAAAGCCCCUUAAGACCUGUCAACUUUGCUAAAGAUGAUGGCAGUGAUUCAAUCCCAGUUCCAUAUAGGUCCAAAACCAAAAGUUUCUUCAUAUUUUCAAAAAAAGAUUGGGGUAUUCCUGUCAAAUUCGAAUUCCUCUGUAGUAAUAGUGACAAAAGCAUGCUGCAGUUGGGGUUUUCUGGCAAGUCUCUCAACUUUUUGUCAAUCAUGGAG